UCGGCCGUGUCCUGGGUGUCGACGAAGCUGAAGUCCAUGCCGGGCGGGAUGACGGCCAUGCGCGGCAUGUAGCGGCCGAGGCUGCUGACGCCGCGGCGCUGGCGGACGCGGAGCUUGCGCUCCACCAUGAGGUCGAAGCCGUCGUAGAGGCCCCACUGCUCCUCGAUCUCCUGCUUGGUGCUGGUGACCACCAUCUCCGCCGUGUCCAGCCCGGUCUCCUCCGCCUCGAUCCGCCGCGCGAUCUUGUAGGUGCCCUGGAUCUCGGGGCCGUGCAUGCGGCCGAGCUUGAGCAGCUGCUCCAGCUUGUUCCGCCCCAGCGAGUGGCCCGUCAUCACCAUCGGCACGUUGAGCGCGCUGGCGAGGUUCGCCGCCACCUCCGCCGCGUCGGCGUAGUGGCCGUGGAUCACGUACGGCCACACCGGCGCCGCCGUCGCCGUCGCCGGGGCGUCGCUGGGCGGGGGCUGGAGCUGCUCGCCCAGCGCGCGCGCCACGUUGGUGACGUGCGAGAGCGCGCGGUCCACGAACUCGGGGAUGUGCGGCCAGAGCUCCUCCUUGGGGAUGUACUGGUCACGUGGCCCGCAGGGCAGCCGCACGAUGUACGCCCCGCCUCCCCCGGACUCGUCGCCGUCGUCGUCGUCGUCGGCGCCGCCCGAGGACAGGCGCUCGAGCAUCUCCACGGGCUCGCCGUAGGUCCAGUCGACGUCCGGGCAGGAGAUCUGCCGCGUCAGGAGGUCCACGCGGUGCACCCCCGCCGUCGCCGCCAGCGCCCGGGCCAGCUCCACCACGUACUUCACCUGCCCCAUGGCAAGAAGAAGAAAAUGACAAGUUAGUCAGCGCAAGUCCACGGGACGUGUCAACGUUUGGACCGGACUUGACCGACCUGGCCUCCGGUGUCGGAGUCUCGCCCGAGCUCCAUGUUCUCUCCACGCACGAGCCCAUGGAUGCUACAAAAAUUCGAACCAAAAACAUGGCAUGAUCAGUAGCAAGAUUCGUGUGAAUUCCAUCAUCGAGUAGGUGUGUGUGUGUGUCACCUGAUGAGGACGAUGUAGAGGUUCCUGUCCUUGCCCUGGUCGUCUUCGUCGUCGGAGACGAGCCGCACCUCGGAGUUGAUCCUCGCCAACCGGGUGCGCGGAUGCUCGUCGGCGUGCGGCACAGCCGCGACGUCGGCGGGCUUGGGGGCGGUCUCCUUCUCCCCCUCUGAGAGCUCGGAGAGGUCCUCGGCGGCCUCCCGGCUGCCCAGCUCCUGCUCCAGCUUCCGCCGGGCCACCUCCUGCGAGUAAUCCCUCUCCACCUACACGUCCACACAGAAAGUGAAGUUCAUCAAUGAAACAAGUUUUACUUCCGUAUAAUAUUACAAAAUAGAUUACACUAAUAUCUGAACUUAAAAUUCAGAGCUGACGUCUUUCUACAAAUAAACCAUGUUUGGAACAAAUCUGUACAAAACAAAAACCACGAGAAUAUCUCCUUGUAACAUUCGCUGGAUGUACGUAAUUUUCUUUUUCUGUAAGAGUGUGCUAGUAAAGACUUGUGAUGUUUAAUACUAUAUAUGGACUUAGGCCCUUUCCUCCAAAAAAAAAGGGUAAGUGUAUUUGUUUUCUCAACAAAAAAAUAGAGUACAUGCUGCAACUGGCGAGAGGGUGCGCCUAUGCGCGGUGGGCCCAGUUUGUUGGGAAGAUAGGACGCGUGAUAAUUUUCUGAAACAGAUUGCAAGCAAUACGUGUGGUCGUGGAGACCAGUGCCGUUUUUGCAACAAAGUGUGAGUUAUGUAAAAUUUACUCUCAUUUCUCCCCCGAGAGGUACAAACUAGGGUGAAGCAGUACUCACUCCUUGUCAUUGAUGCAGCCAUCCGGCAAUAAUGCUUAACAUACGGACACAUUCUACAGGAUUUUACGGGCUGGGUACUGUAAGCUCUUUUGAUUGGCCCUCCUGAAUUUCAGCGAUGGGUCCGUAUGCCUUAAUCAAUUCCCGGUCAAUCAGUGAUAAGCAAUCUGUAAAUCUUUUAUAAAAACUCCGUACUACGUGUAGCAUCCUUGUGGGCCAAAGGUAACCCCACAGUAAAAAUUCCAGACGAGGCUAGAAUAUACCCAGCCUAUUAAUAAAUUACCAUAAACACACACGGACAAUUAGUCCUGAGUGCCCUAUGGGCCAGGCCAAGCAGGCCGCCGACAUUGAACGCGAGGUUUGUUUUUUCCGUUUGAAGCAAAAAGAGGGAAACCCGAUGGCGAACGGAAGGAAAAGCAGGGCGUGUGAAGGCCAGCCACACGCGUGCUCCGGCCACGGACGGCAUCGCCAUCCAUGGCCCGCGGCGGCCGGGAACGGAACCGUACCUGCUUCUUCUGCCUCGCGACGUUCCAGAUCCUCCAGCACAGGUUCUCCAACCGGUUGCUCCGCUCCUGGCUGUUCCGCAUCGCCACCACCUGCAACCAUCCAUCAACCCAUAUAUCUUCAUCAGCCAUCGAUUCAUCAUCCACGGCGACGGCGAUCAAGCAUGCGCGACCGAUCGAUUGAGCUGGACCGAGCGGAGCGGCCACGGUGGUCGAUCUUUGCUCACCUUUGUCCAUGUCUUGUGGAGGGCCUGGUCGUCGAAGCUCCGGACGACCUCCUCCACGAAGUACCUGGUGGGGUUGUAGGUGGCGCUGGACUCCUCCGACGCGAGCGCCGGCGCCGGCUCCAGCGGCGGGAGCGACACCCCCUGCACCCGCAGCUUGGACCCGGCGUCGAGGAUCGCCUCCAGGUACCCGUUGAUCCACUCGUUCCCCACCGCCAUGUCGGCCUCCCUCUCGCUGCUACCUACUUGCGCUCUCCUGCACUCAAGAUCCCAGCCUGAUAACGAUCUGCUUAUAUACGUGCGCGCGGGUGGUCGUCAAGGUGUGGUGCAGCAUAUUUCUUUUCGGUGCUUUUCUUCAACUAUACACUGUAUUAUUCUCAUAGUAUUUUGUACUCUAUUUUCCUUUUUCUUUUGCGGGUGAUUUUGCUUUGUUUUUGUGAUGCGAGAAUAAUUCCCUUUUUCUUUUGUGCGCGUUGGGUGAUGGCUGUGGGAUUCUACGGCGGUUAUGCGUCGAUCUAUCUCGUUGGAGGGAUGGGAGGAGAGGAAUAAAGCGAAAAAGAAAGAAGAGAUAUAUGCUGCCUAGACUAAGAUAUGAUAGUACAUGGCUCGGCGAGAGUGGCGACCGCGACGCUGCGUGCAUGCCGUUGGCACACGUAUCGACGACGCAAUAUGCCUCAGCAUAUGCCUUUCCGUUCUGCUUUGCCGGUAUCGUUCCCCUCCUCCUUUUUUUUUUCACGGUUUUGUUUAUUUAUUAUUUUCCGUGUUUUGAUUGACGAGUGGGUACCGGCCACCUGGAGAACCCUACGAUCUUUUUCACUAGUCGGCGUGUGGCGUCGUUUUGUUCGGUGAGGGGAAACUGCCAGUUCCGUGUGAUGCGUGUCAGGGGUAGCUGCCAGUUCCGUGUGAUGCGUGUCAGGAAGGCGAUUGGUUAAUUACACUGUCACUUGUGUGCUAAGCGGCACCAUAUUGUUGGUCUGAAAGCGAUGUGGUAUGUGUACUGUCAUGGCGCCACAUAGGUAGAUUCCCAGGAGAGACUGUUGUGUGAUGGAUGACGCACGAUCAGAGGUGCUGUCAACCGUAGGUUCCAGACCUUGAUUGCUGUUAAUCAUAGAGUCUCUCCCUAAUAAUAAUAAAGCGUCGAAUGCUUUUGUCAUCUGUCGCGUCAUUUUUGCAAAAAAGUCCCUGACGUUUCCUGAAAUCAAUCCGCAGUCCGAAUUGAAGUCAGAAAACGAAUCGUUUUUUUGCAUUUUUCAAAAAAAAAACCCUGAUGUUUCAGGUAAUCAACCCGCCCUCCGUAUUUAAGUCAGCCGAAACGUUUUUUUGUUUUAACAAAAAAGACCCUGACUUUUCACUUAAUCAAUCCAUAUUUUGUCUAAAACAAAAUUAUCCAUAUCUUUUAAACCGAUUUUGAUAUGUUAUAUAUGAAAUUUGAUUAAGAAAAUGUGUAGAAUCUAAAUACGAUAUUAAUUUUUAGCUGUUGAAUACUUCUUAAAUAUUAUUUUUGGUGAAAACUUGAUCUGUAGUGCACGGUCCUUUUUUUCUGUCUUUCUGACGAUGAUACAAAUUACAAUGAGCAUCCAUUAAAUUAAAACCAAAUUCAGAGGAAAAGGAACAUAGUUAACCACACAUGCACACCUUUAGAAAACCUCGUGGGGGAGAAACAACAUAUUUCUCAUCUUAUUCCGAGUGACUGUACAUUCAAACGUGUUUUCGUUGUGUGAGCACUAAGGCCAUCGUCGACAACACAAAUGUGAUGCCAUGUGAAAAUAUAUUUCGUUCAAAGCGUGUGUUAUUUUAUCUUCCCUUGCAACGCACGGGCUCUUUUGCUAGUAGAAAAUAGAACUUGUAGUCUAUAUGAAAGACAAGCCCUACUCGCAAAAAAAAGACAAGCCCUGACAAGUUUUGUUGUUGAAAAACUCGCCAAGCUUUAUUCCAGAUCAACCUUCAUAGAUACAACUGUUGGGUCAUGGGGAUUACCAAACCAUACGUGUCGACUUAGCCCUAGAUUACAAGAGAACUUGGCAAGUUGAUGAGCCUCAUGGUUAAAGUUUCUACGCUCAUGAGUAAAAGAACAGUGCUGAAAAAUACUACUACGCCCUACUAUAUCAUGUAUAACGGCCGCAUGGGGUCCUCCCGUUCCCUUGGUAAUAUCAUUGAUGACUUCUUGAUAGUCCGAAGCGACUAAAAAACUCUGUAGGUUAAGGUAUUCUCCAAGAGCUAGAGCUUCCCUACAAGCUAGUGUCUCAAGCACCACCGGAUCCGUCACUCCCAGGAACACCACCGCAGAGGACCCAAGAUAAGAACCUUGGUUAUCUCGGCAGACUACUGCUACCGCUCCCCCUUUUUCUGUCUAGCAACUGAUCCAUCUACACUGAUUUUCAUGCAAUUCUGAGGCGAAGGUAACCAUCGUCGCAAGUUGUUUAGAGGUUGCCGAACCUCUUCAGUCCUUGGCAGUCAUUGCAUCUGGGUUUGUUCUAACUCAUGUAAGUAAGAAUCAACAAAGGCAAUGGUUUGGACUGAGCUUUGGAACACGACUUCAUGGAUAGCUUUCUGUCGGACAUACCAUACUGUCCAAAGUGUAACUCCCAUCUUUGUAAACUGCUCAUGAUUCAUGGUAUCGCAAAGCUCGAAUAUUCAAUGCUUGGCAUUCAGUUCUUCAAUGGUAGUCAUUUGCGCCGCUGGUUGAUCGUCAGAAAUAGCCCAAGGGCAGCGAGCCAUGGUACAUGAAAUCAGGGCGUGCCUCCAUGAAUCCUCGCAACCACAAAGGGGACAAGCAUCUUGGGUGGACAUGUUUCACCGUUGCAGGGCAUUCGUAGUCAGGAUCAAAUGCCUAGCUAGCCUCCACAUGAAAACCUUGACCUUAGAUGGCACUUUUAAACCCCACGACAAUGAUCAAGAAUUGCCUCCUGCCUCUUCAUUUGAUGCUUCACUUCUACCUUCAAGCCAAUUCUCAUGUUCAAGUUUUGUCUUAGCCAGAAACUUAUAUGCUGAACUCACCAAAAAUCUGCCCUUCCUGUCCGGUGCCCAUGCCCAAAAAUCAUGAGUAUUACUAGUGCACACCGGGAUUCGCAAAAUAGCCUCUGCAUCGAUUGGAAGAAACAUUGAGCGAACAAGUCCCACAUUCCAAGCUGCACUUGAUGGCAGCAACAGACCGGAAACUCUUACGAGAGGGUUUGGUAUGAGCGACGUGAUUGGCCUCGACGUUGUCUCUUUGGGGAUCCAGUUAUCCUCCCAAAAAUUGGUGCUUCUCCCAUUCCCUAUCCUUCAUAUAAUUCCCUGCUUGAGUAGGUCCCUUCUGUUAAGAAUGGCUCUCCAAAUCUGAGACAGUCUAGGUCCAAGUUCAACUUGAAGAAUGGAGCUAUUGGGGAAGUAUGAUGCUUUGAGAAUUCUUGCACUAAGCGACGAGGGCUCUUGGAGUAACCUCCAUGCUUGCCUUGCUAGGCAAGGAUAAACAUUUCCAGGUCCCUAAAGCCAAGACUGUUGGAAAUAUGCCCUAGAGGCAAUAAUAAAUUGGUUAUUAUUAUAUUUCUUUAUUCAUGAUAAUCGUUUAUUAUCCAUGCUGGAAUUGUAUUGAUUGGAAACUCAAAUACAUGUGUGGAUACAUAGACAACACACUGUCCCUAGUGAGCCUUUAGUUGACUAGCUCGUUGAUCAAAGAUGGUCAAGGUUUCCUGACCAUAGACAAGUGUUGUCACUUGAUAACGGGAUCACAUCAUUGGGAGAAUGAUGUGAUGGACAAGACCCAAACUAUGAACGUAGCAUGUGAUCGUGUUAGUUUAUUGCUACCGUUUUUCCGCAUGUCAAUGUAUCUGUUCCUAUGACCAUGAGAUCAUGCAACUCCCGGACACAGGAGGAAUACCUUGUGUUAUCAAACGUCGCAACGUAGCCGGGUGACUAUAAAGGUGCUCUACAGGUAUCUCCAAAGGUGUCUGUUGGGUUGGCAUGGAUCAAGAUUGGGAUUUGUCACUCCAUGUGACGGAGAGGUAUCUCGGGGCCCACUCGGUAAUACAACAUCACAAUAAGCCUUGCAAGCAAUGUGACUAAGGAGUUAGUCAUGGGAUCUUGUAUUACGGAACAAGUAAAGAGACUUGCCGAUAACGAGAUUGAACUAGGUAUAGAGAUACCGAUGAUCGAAUCUCGGGAAAGUAACGUACCGAAGGAUGAAGGGAACAACAUACGGGAUUAACUGAAUCCUUGACAAAGAGGUUCAACCGAUAGAGAUCUUCAUAGAAUAUGUGGGAGCCAAUAUGGACGUCCAGGUCCCUCUAUUGUUUAUUGACCGGAGAGUGUCUCAGGUCAUGUCUGCAUAGUUCUCAAACCUGCAGGGUCUGUACACUUAAGGUUCGGUGACGUUUCGGUAUAGUUGAGUUAUAGGUGUUGGUGACCGAAGGUUGUUCGGAGUCCCAGAUGAGAUCCCGGACGUCACGAGGAGCUCCGAAAUGGUCCGGAGGUAAAGAUUGAUAUAUAGGAAGUCAUGUUUUAGUCAUCGGAAAAGUGGAAAGAGUUUUCAAGUGGGAUGGAGGAAUCCUACUCCAAAUAGGAUUGGAGUAGGACUCCUCCUCUCUCCCUUGCGCAAGGGAAGAAAGGGCUGCCCUAGAGCACAGCCCUCUCCCUCCUCUCCUCCUAUAUAUACUAAGGGUUUUGAGGGUUUUAGACACAACAAAAAACAACCACGUGUUUCCCUCUCUCUAGAUCUGUUUCUCCUCUAGUUUCAACGGUGCUUAGGCGAAGCCCUGCUGGAAUAGCACCACCACGACCAUCACCACGCCGCCGUGCUGGAGAAAUCAUCUACCUCUCCGCCCCCUCUUGCUGGAUCAAGAAGGUGGAUAUCGUCAUCGAGCUGUACGUGUGCGGAACGCGGAGGUGUCGUCCGUUCAACACUUGAUCACGACGAAUCGUGGGACGGAUCGUGAGACGGUUCGUGGGACGGAUCGUGGAAUAGUUCAUGGGACGGAUCGUGAAGACGUACCACUACAUCAACCGUGUUUAUUAAUGCUUCCGCUUAGUGAUCUAAAAGGGUAUGUGGAUCCGAUCUCCCUUUCGUAGAUGAUCAUCACCAUGAUAGGUCUUCGUGUGCGCAGGAUUUUUUUCCCAUGCAACGUUCCCCAAUAGUGGCAUCAUGAGCUAGGUUCAUGCGUAGAUGAUAUCUCGAGUAGAACACAAAAGAGUUUGUGGGCGUUGAUCUUCAAUUUGCUGCCCUCCUUAGUCUUUUCUUGAUUCAACGGUAUUGUUGGAUUGAAAAGGCCCGGACCAACUUUACUCGUACGCUUACGAGAGACCGGUUUCAUCGAGAAACAUGCAACUUGUUGCAUAAAGAUGACUGGCGGGUGUCUGUUUCUUCAACUUUAGUUGAAUCGGAUUUGACCAAGGCAGUCCUUGGAGAAGGUUAAAUAGCAAUUUGCAUAUCACCGUUGUGGCUUUGCGUAAGUAAGAUGCGAUCAUACUAGAUACCCAUAGCAGCCAUGUAAAACAUGCAACAACAAAUUAGAGGACAUCUAACUUGUUUUUGCAGGGUAUGCAUGUGAUGUGAUAUGGCCAAAGACAUGAUAUGAUAUAUUGGAUGUAUGAGAUGAUCAUGUUGUAAUACUUAAAUAUCGACUUGCACGUCGAUGCUACGGCAACCGGCAGGAGCCAUAUGGUUGUCUUUAAACUAACGUUUGUGCUUGCAGAUGCGUUUGCUAUAUUGCUAGGUAGUAGCUUUAGUAGUAAUAGCAUAGGUAGCACGAAAACCUCGAUGGCGGCACAAUGAUGGAGAUCAUGGUGUGGCGCCGGUGACGAUGAAGAUGAUGCCGAUGCUUUGGUGAUGGAGAUCAAGAAGCACAAGAUCAUGGCCAUAUCAUGUCACUUAUGAUUUGCAUGUGAUGUUAAUCCUUUUAUGCACCUUAUUUUGCUUAGUACGACGGUAGCAUUAUAAGGUAAUCCCUCACUAAAAUUUCAAGAUAAAAUUGUGUUCUGCCCGACUGUGCAUCGUUGCGACAGUUCAUCGUUUUGAGACACCACGUGAUGAUCAGGUGUGAUAGACUCAACGUUCACAUACAAUGGGUGCAAAACAGUUGCACACGCCGAACACUCGGGUUAAACUUGACGAGCCUAACAUGUACAGACAUGGCCUCGGAACACAAGAGAUCGAAAGAUCGAGCAUGAAUCAUAUAGUUGAUAUGAUCAACAUGGAGAUGUUCACCACUGAAACUUUACUCAACUCACGUGAUGAUCGGACUUGAGUUAGUGGAUUUGGAUCAUGCUCCACUUGAAUGACUAGAGGGAUGUAUAUUUGAGUGGGAGUUCUUAAGUAAUAUGGUUAAUUGAACUCAUUAUCAUGAACAUAGUCAAAAGGUCUUUGCAAAUUAUGUUGUCGCUUGCGCUGUAGCUCUACUGUUUUUAGAUAUGUUCCUAGAGAAAAUUUAGUUGAAACAUGAUAGUAGCAAUUAUGCGGACUGGGUCCGUAAACUGAGGAUUGUCCUCAUUGCCGCAUAGAGGGCUUAUGUACUUAAUGCACCGCUCGGUAUGCUGAACCUCGAGUGUCGUCUGUGGAUGUUGCGAACAUUUGACAUACACGUUUUUGAUGACUACAUGAUAGUUUAGUGUGUAAUACUUAAUGGCUUAGAAUUGAGGCGCUGAAGACGUUUUGAACGUUACAGAACAUAUGAGAUGUUCUAAGAGAUGAAAUUGGGAUUUCAUGCUCGUGCCCUUGUUGAGAGGUAUGUGAACUCCGACAAGAUUCUUUGUCUACAAAGUAAAGGAGAAAAGCUCAAUUGUUGAGCAUGUGCUCAGAUUGUCUGAGUGCUACAAUCGCUUGAAUCGAGUGGGAGUUAAUCUUCCAGAUGAGAUAGUGAUGGUUCUCCAAAGUCACUACCACCAAGCUACUAGAGCUUCGUGAUGAACUAUAACAUAUUAGGGAUAGAUAUGAUGAUCCUUGAGCUAUUCGCAAUGUUUGACACUGCGAAAGUAGAAAUCAAGUAGGCGCAUCAAUUGUUGAUGGUUAGUAAAACCACUAGUUUCAAGAAGGGCAAGGGCAAGAAAGGACACUUCAUGAAAUGGCAAACCAGUUGCUGCUCUAGUGAAGAAACCCAAGGUUGAACCCAAACCCGAGACUAAGUGCUUUUGUUAUGAGGGGAACAGUCACUGAGGCGGAACUAUCCUAGAUACUUGGUAGAUGAGAAGGCUGGCAUAGUCGACACAAGUAUAUUGGAUAUACCUGAUAUUGAUGUGUACCUUACUAGUACUCCUAGUAGCAUCAGGGUAUUAGAUACCGGUUCAGUUGCCAAGUGUUAGUAACUCGAAAUAAUAGCUACAAAUUAAAUGGAUACUAGCAAGGGUGAGGUGACAAUGUGUGUUGGAAGUAAUUCUAAGGUUGAUGUGAUCAAACAUCGCACGCUCCCUCUACCAUCGGGAUUAGUGUUAAACCUAAAUAAUUGUUAUUUGGUGUUUGCGUUGCGCAUGAACAUGAUUAGAUCGUGUUUAUUGCAAUACAAUUAUUCAUUUAAAGAGAAUAAUGGUUAUUCUAUUUGCUUGAAUAAAUACCUUCAAUGGUUUAUUGAAUCUCGAUCAUAGUGCUACACAUGUUCAUAAUAUUGAUGCCAAAAGAUACAGAGUAGUAAUGAUAGUACCACUUACUUGUGGCACUGCCGCUUGAGUCAUAUUUGGUAUAAAAUGCAUGAAGAAGCUCCGUGCUGAUGGAUCUUUGUACUCACUCAUUUUUGAAACGUUUGAGACAUGCAAACCAUACCUAUGGGUAUAAACACAUGAAGAAACUCCAUGCAGAUGGAUCGUUUGGACUCACUUGAUUUUGAAUCACUUGAGACAUGCAAAUCAUACCACAUGGGCAAGAUGACUGAAGACCUCGUUUUUCGAGUGAGAUGGAACAAGAAAGUAACUUGUUGGAAGUAAUACAUUUUUGAUGUGUGCAGUCCAAUGAGUGCUAAGGCACGCAGUGGAUAUCGUUAUGUUCUUACUUCACUGACGAUUUGAGUAGAUACAAGAGUAUUUACUUGAUGAAUCACAAGUCUGAAAUAUUGAAAAGUUCAAAACUAUUUCAGAGUGAAGAUCGUCAUGACAAGAGGAUAACAUGUCUACGAUAUGAUCAUAGAGAUGAAUAUUUGAGUUGCGAGUUUGGUACACAAUUAAGAUAAAUGUGAAAAUUGUUUCACAUCUCAUGCCACCUAAACACCAUAGUAUGAUGGUGUGUCUGAACGUCAUGCCGCGCCCUAUUUGAUAUGGUGCAUACUAUGACGUCUCUUAUCGAAUUACCACUAUCGUUUAUGGGUUAUGCAUUAGAGACAACCGCAUUCACUUUAAAUAGGACACCACGUAUUUACGUUGAGAUGACACCGUAUGAACUAUGGUUUGGAAAAACCUAAGCUGUCGUUUCUUAAAAAUUUGGGGCUGCGAUGCUUAUGUGGAAAAGUUUCAGCAUGAUAAGCUCGAACCCAAAGCGGAUAAAUGCAUCUUCAUAGGACACCCAAAAUAGUUGGGAUACCUCCUAUCUUAGAUCCGGAAGCAAAGUGGUUGUUUCUAGAAAUGUGUCCUUUCUCGAGGAAAAGUUUCUCUCGAAAGAAUUGAGUGGGAGGAUGGUGGAACUUGUUGAGGUUACUGAACCGUCACUUCAACCAGUGUGUAGCAGGGCGCAGGAAGUUGUUCCUGUGGCGGCUACACCAAUUGAAGUGGAAGCUAAUGAUAGUGAUCAUGAAACUUCGGAUCAAGUUACUGCAAACCUUGUAGGUCGACAAGGUCACAUACUACUACAGAGUGGUACAGUAACCCUGUCUUGGAGGUCAUGUUGUUGGACAAGAAAUGAACCUACAAGCUAUGGAGAAGCGAUGGUGGGCCUGGAUUCCGACAAAUGGCUGGAGGCCAUGAAAUCCGAGAGAGGACCCAUGUAUGAAAACAAAGUGUGGACUUUGGAAGAACUACUUGAUGGUCGUAAGACUAUUAAGUGAAGAUGGAUCUUUAAAAGAAGACAGACAAUGAUGGUGAAAGUCACCAUUUAAGAAAGCUCGACUUGUUGCAAAGAGGUUUCCAACAAGUUCAAGGAGUUGACUGCGAUGAGACUUUCUCACUCGUAACGAUUCUAAAAGUCUGUUGGAAUUAUGUUAGCAGUUGCUGCAUCUUGCAGAUGGAUGUCAAAACAUUGCUUCCUCGACAGUUUCCUUGAGGAAAGGUUGUAUGUGAUACAACGAGAAGGUUUUGUCGAUCCUAAGGAUGCUAACAAGUAUGCAAGCUCUAGCGAUCCUUCUAAGGACUGGAGUAAGCAUCUCGGAGUUGGAUAUGCACUUUGAUGUGAUGAUCAAAGCUUUUGGGUUUAUACAAGGUUUAAGAGAAACUUGUAUUUCCAAAGAAGUGAGUGGGAGCACUAUAGCAUUUCUGAUAAGUAUAUGUGGUUGACAUAUUGUUGAUCGGAAGUAAUGUAGAAUUUAUGGAAAGCAUAAAGGGUGGUUUGAAAGGAGUUUUUGAAAGGAAAACCUGGAUAGAGCUACUUCAACAUUGAGCAUCAAGAUCUAUAGAGAUAGAUUAAGGGGUACAAAGAGUGAUCUAGGAUUGAAUCACUGAACAACGGUCAAGGUUAUCCUUAGUAACUAGUGGAUUAAGGAAUUUUUCUCAAUUAUGGAGGUGAUUAAAGAGUUCGUCGUAAUGAGUUACGUCGAUGCAAGCUUUGACACUAAUCCGAAUAACUAUGAGUAGUAAACCGGAUUCGUAUAGUGGAGCAGUCAUUUGGAAUAGUUCCAAAUGGUGAGUGGUAGCAACAUCUAUAGGAUGCCAUAGAGAUUUUUAAAGAACACAAGGAUGUGAAAGGUUCAGACCCAUUGACUAAAAACCUCUCUCACAAGCAAUAUAUGAUCAAACCCCGUAACUGUAUGGGUGUUAGGUUCAUUGCAAUCACAUAGUGAUGUGAACUAGAUUAUUGACUCUAGUGCAAGUGGGAGACUCUUGGAAAUAUGCCCUAGAGGCAAUAAUAAAUUGGUUAUUAUUAUAUUUAUUUAUUCAUGAUAAUAGUUUAUUAUCCAUGCUAGAAUUCUAUUGAUUGGAAACUCAGAUACAUGUGUGGAUACAUAGACAACACACUGUCCCUAGUGAGCCUCUAGUUGACUAGCUUGUUGAUCAAAGAUGGUGAAGGUUUCCUGACCAUAGACAAGUGUUGUCACUUGAUAACGGGAUCAAAUCAUUGGGAGAAUGAUGUGAUGGACAAGACCCAAACUAUGCACAUAGCAUGUGAUCGUGUCAGUUUAUUGCUACUAUUUUUCUGCAUGUCAAUGUAUCUAUUCCUAUGACCAUGAGAUCAUGCAACUCCCGGACACCGGAGGAAUAUCUUGUGUGUUAUCAAACGUCGCAACGUAACUGGGUGACUAUAAAGGUGCUCUAUAGGUAUCUCCAAAGGUGUCUGUUGGGUUGGCAUGGAUCAAGACUGGGAUUUGUCACUCCGUGUGACGGAGAGGUAUCUCGGGGCCCACUCCGUAAUACAACAUCACAAUAAGCCUUGCAAGCAAUGUGACUAAGGAGUUAGUCAUGGGAUCUUGAAUUACGGAAUGAGUAAAGAGACUUGCCGGUAACGAGAUUGAACUAGGUAUAGAGAUACCGAUGAUCGAAUCUCGGGCAAGUAACAUAUCGAAGGAUGAAGGGAACAACAUACGAGAUUAACUGAAUCCUUGACAUAGAGGUUCAACCGAUAGAGAUCUUCGUAUAAUAUAUCAGAGCCAAUAUGUACAUCCAGGUCCCGCUAUUGAUUAUUGACCGGAGAGUGUCUCAGGUCAUGUCUGCAUAGUUCUCGAACCCGCAGGGUCUGCACACUUAAGGUUCGGUGCCGUUUCGGUAUAGUUGAGUUAUAGGUGUUGUUGACCGAAGGUUCUUCGGAGUCCCAGAUGAGAUCCCGUACGUCACGAGGAUCUCCAUAAUGGUCUGGAGGUAAAGAUUGAUAUAUAGGAAGUCCUGUUUUGGUCACAGGAAAAGUUUCAGACUCAUCGAUAUUAUACCGGAAGUGUUGGAAGGGGUGCCGGGGACCAUCGGGAGGGGUGUCAUGCCCCAAGGGGGCUCAUGGGCUGUGGAAAGAGAUAAACCAGACUCUAGUGGGCUGGAAUAAGUUCCCACUAAGGCCCAUAAGGUUUGAGAAGGAAAAAACACAAGGUGGAAAGAGUUUCCAAGUGGGAAGGAGGAAUCCUACUCCAAAUAGGAUUGGAGUAGGACUCCUCCUCUCUCCCUUGCGCAAGGGAAGAAAGGGCUGCCCUAGGGCACAACCCUCUCCAUCCUCUCCUCCUAUAUAUACUAAUGUUUUUGAGGGCUUUAGACACAACAGAAAACAACCACGUGCUGCCCUCUCUCUAGAUAUGUUUCUCCUCUAGUUUCAGCGGUGCUUAGGCGAAGCCCUGCUGGAAUAGCACCACCACCACCACCACCACGCCGCCGUGCUGGAGAACUCAUCUACCUCUCCGCCCCCUCUUCCUGGAUCAAGAAGGUGGAGAUCGUCAUCGAGUUGUAUGUGUGCGGAACGCGGAGGUGCCGUCCGUUAGGUACUUGAUCAGGACGGAUCGUGGGACGGAUCGUGGGUCGGUUCGUGAAGACGUACGACUACAUCAACCGCGUUUAUUAAUGCUUCCGUUUAGCGGUCUACAAGGGUAUGUGGAUCCGAUCUCCCUCUCAAAGAUGAUCAUCACCAUGAUAGGUCUUCGUGUGCGUAGGAAUUUUUUUCCCAUGCAACGUUACCCAACGAAGACCCCCAAGUGUUUUGGACGAGUCAUUACUUCCCAAGAGACCCAAGCUAGUUUUCGCUCUCCUUGCUUGCAUCCCCACCAGAAAUUCCUUAAGAUUGACUUCAUAUGAUCACAUAAUCCUCUAGGGAGUUUGAAACAGGACAUGAAAUAUAAUGGGAUAGCUUGUGCCAUAGAUUUUGUAAGAACUUCCUUGCCUCCUGUUGAUAAGCAUUUACUCAUCCAUCCCUUGACUUUGUCCCACACUUGAUCACUCAAGUACUUGAAAGUACCUUUUUUGGAGUGCCCAACAUCAGUUGGCAUCCCUAGAUACCUAUCGCUCACAAACUCAUUAGGAACUUGAAGGUAUCCCUUGAUAGCAUCUUUAACAAUCGAUGGGAUUUUCUUACUGAAAAAGAUUGAUGAUUUCUCUUUGUUGAUCCUCCGCCCUAAAGUUGUGCAAUAUGAAUCUAGCAGGUGUGACACCUCCUGAGCUCCAUUAAUGCUUGCCCUGAAAAACAAUAGGCUGUCAUCUACGAAUAAAAGAUGAUUCACCACCGGUGCCGUCGGUGCCACCUUAAUGCCACCAUGUUGGGAUGAUUGGUUAUGCGAAUUUAGAAGGCAUGAAAGCCCUCUACCGACAACAAGAAAAUAUAUGGAGAGAUAGGAUCUCCGUGAAGAAUACCAUGAUUGGGUUUAAACUUCUCUAGCUUGCUGCCAUUAAACAUCACUCAAAAGGUGAUUAUGCUCACCAUGUUCAUGAUCACGGACACCCAUGGUGUUGCAAAUCCCAGUUUCUCCAGUAUUGCUUUAAGAUAGCUCCACUCAACUCUGUUAUAAGCCUUCAUCAUGUCUAGCUUUAGUGCACAUAAGUUGUUGUUCUUGGAUCUGUUUAUCUUCACAAAGUGCAAGAACUCAAAUGCUGAAAUUGUGUUAUCAGUAAUCAGCCUGCGUGGAACAAAGGUCGACUGCUCCUCUGAUAUGAGCUCCAGUAACACAACCUUCAAAUGGUUUGCAAGCACUUUUGAGUCGAUCUUAUAAAAGACAUUGCAUAAAGCUAUGGUACGAAAUUGUGAUAAAUGAGUGGGGUUAGCUACAUUCGGUAUUAGAAUGAGGAGAGUAUUAUUUAAGCAUGUCCGGUUUUCCUCUCCUCGAACAAUUCCCAACAACGCCCACGUUACUGCUUCUCCACACACAUCCCAGUGCCUCUGGAAGAAAUGCAUAGGAAAACCGUCAGGGCUAGGGGCCUUGAUAGGGGACAUUUGGAAGAGUGUUCUUUUAACUUCCUUUGCCUCAUACGGAGCCAGUAGUUGCUCGUUCAUAGCAGUUGAAACUUUGACUAGAAAAUGCUGAAGCACUUCCUCCAUCCCGUGGAUCCCUUCGACCGUGUAGAGUUUUAUAGUAUUGAUGAGCUAGCUGCUGCAUCCUUGUGGCAUCUUCAAUCAUCUGUCCAUCAGGUUUCUGAAGAGUCUUGAUCAGAUUGUUUUGCCUCCGCAUAGAUGCCCUAAGGUGGGAAAAUGAGUAUUUUUGAUCGCCCUUAGAUAACCAUUGCACUCUAGAUCGUUGUCUCCACAAUAGAUCCUCCCUCAGGUAUAGCUCGAUCAAACGGUCAUUGAUUUUUAAAUCAACAUGACUUAGCCCAGUGCGGCUGGCCAUGUUGCGCAACCUGUCCAGCUCCAUUUUUAUCUUCCUGAUUUCACUAGAGACACUGCCGAACGUUGUUUUGCUCUAUUCGCCUAAAUUCCCAACAAGUGCGUCUAAAUUUGCUCGAAUCUCCUCGACUGUGAGUUCACCAUUCCGCUGCCAAGAAGUUCGGACGGUCUCUUUGAGGUGUGCAUGAGUGUCCCACAUUGUUUCAUAAGGAAUGGUUUGGCUGCCUUGAUAGGAGUUGUGCAUAAUUGAACAAUGAUAGGGGACUGGUCUGAAGUUGCUGCUAUAAGGUGUUGCACCGAUGCUAGCAGAAAUUGCUCACACCAAUCCGCUGUGGAGAGUGCACAAUCAAGACAGACCCUAGUGAAAGAGCCACCGACGGCCUUCUUUUCAAAAGUCCACCUCGUGCCAUUAAACCCUAAGGCCAUCAAGCCACAAAAAUCUACCGCAUCUCUAAAGCCUUGAAUCUGUGACUGGAUCCAAGAGACAACACCAUCAUUUUCAUCAUAUCGUAAUACUUUGUUGAAAUCAUCAAGGAAAACCUAGAGUAGGAUUUCUGUCGUUGUCAGGUUCUUCAUGGUAUCCCAAGUUUGAUGACGGAGGUGGGUCUGUGGCUCACCAUAGAAGCAUGUCAAUCUCCAAGCCCCCCCCAAAUGAGAAACUUUAGCAUCUAAGUGGUACUUUGAGUAACCUAAGUUUUCCACUUUUAUUUCAUUGUUCAAAAACGUAAUAAUUGCCCCACUUCUGCUCGCGGGGUCAACACCAAAAGAGCAAUCUAAACCUAAAGUACUUGCUAGCUUUCUAGCAUGAACUCUACUAAUUUGAGUUUCUACAAUGCAAAUCACUUUAGGGGCAAACUUUGCCGCGAGUUCACGGAGCUCUUGAAUUGUUGGGGCGUUUCCAAUCCCGCGACAAUUCCAGCAUAUGAGAUUCAUUGGGCCCGACGGUCCUCCACCGGGAGGCUGCCAAACGCCCAUCAUUGCUUUUUCCACUUCCAAUUCCUUUCUUCACGUUAUCCGAGUUGUGCUUCUCCAAAGCUCCAUUUUCUAUCCGCGGACUCGUUCUGGGCCGCUUUGGAUCAUGCUUAGGGGGUGGGCUUAGGGUAGCAUCACCACCCUCUUUGGCCUUCACUAUGGGGACUAGUUCCAUGCCAGUAAUCUCCAGGGGGUGACCACAUCAUAGCCCCGUUUCCUACUUGGAUCCGCCGACUCCAUGUCAACAUCUUCCUCUUCCCCAUCUGUUGUUUCCAUUGCCUCACUAUCUUCUUCGUUUGCAAGGUUUCCCCCCUUUGGAUGAUAUUGUUCUUUCUUCCUUUGGUUAUUAUUUUGCCUCCUGGUUGCCCAAGCAGUAGUAGCUUGUGCACAUAGGUUUUUGAAAAUAUGGGCCGAUGAAUGGUGAACCCCAUCACCGUGUUCCUUGAAUUCACGGCCCAUCAUCCCACAUACUUGCCACCAAUCCAGCAAAUGCUCAUACUUGACAACGAAGAUCUCCCUUACACCUCCUCGAAUUAUCGAGGUAGCUUUCUUGAGAGGGUUGUGUACAUUCAACCGCACUCUCACACGAUGAAAGUUUCCUUCAGAGUCAAAAUAUGAUGGCUCUGAAUCCACACACUCACCAAACUUGGAAGCCAAAGCUUUAACCUUGCCAUGUUAGGCCAAGGAAAAAUCAAUAAUGCGUGACCAUAUAUCAAACUUGAAAAUUUCAAUGGUGGUCGGCUUGAUGUACCCAUCGUAUAGUGCAAUAAUCACCGGAUUACCUCUCACAAGCCCUGACAAGUGACAACACACGUACUCCACGGGCUCCUGAAACACAGGCCCAUAAUUGGAAUAGAAUUGGAGAGCAAACAGAACUAGCGAACGAGCCUCUCCUCGCGUCUCUCCCUCCAAUCAACCGAGGGUGAAAAUCUAGUCUCCGAGCCACGACCACCUCCCCUCGCUACUACCCCUCGUCUCCCCUGAGGCCACCGCAGGGAAAAGCCGGGUGUUGCUCGGCUGGAUCUGAUGCCUCGUAGACCCUUGUGUAGUGGAAGGAGGAUAGCCACAGGUCUUGGGCCGUGGGCGAUCUUGCCGCCGGAUUGGAUUUGUGAAAGUGCAUUAUAUCGACUAGGGGGGGGGUGAAUAGGCGAUUUUUACAAUUUCAUCACCCAGGAAAUUCCUAGUGAGGAAAGUUCUCAGUCAUGAACUGAGCACAGCGGAAAUAGAACCAUAUCAGGAGUGGAAAAACGUCUAGUGCAAAGUACUAAACGAGAUUUCAGAGAUUCGGUUUGCACAGGUCACAAGUAUAGGAUAAGCGGGUGAAGAUUAACCCAGGUGAAGAAUUUGAGGUUGAGAAAAUUCAGAGAAAGUCUUCAGUCAAAUUCUUCAAAUAGUACACAUGAAAGUCUUCAACAUACAAUUGAUGAAAUGAGAGAGUUGAAGAAAUAGAACCAGUAGCUUGAUGAAGACAAUUGUUGAUGACACAGUUCCAACUUCUGUGACAGUUGUACGUCUUGUUUGGAGCGGCUUGGUAUUGAAAACAAGGGACACACAGUCCCUACCGUAUUCUCCUUGAGCUAAGGACACACAAUCCUCUCCCAACACUCGUGGUAAGUGUUCAGGGCAGGCUUCGAAACCCUCACAAACUCGGUCACCCGGUGAUCCACAAUUGACUGUUGGAUGCUCUAGACCAUGACGCCUAACCGUCUAGAGGAUGCACAGUCCUCAAACGUAACAAGCGUCGGUUCCACACAGGAAUAACUUCUUCAGUGAUGCUCAAUCACUUGGGUUUUGGUUUGGGUUUGGGUGUUUGGGGUAUUUCCUCACUUGAUGAUUUUCACGCAAAAGGCUCUGAGGAAUUUGGGUUGCUCUAAAUGACUAGUGUCAGUUUCUCUCGUAGCAGCCAACCAGCUAGUGGUUGUGGGGGGUGGCUAUUUAUAGCUUGGGAGCAUCCCGACAUGAUUUGACAUAAAUGCCCUUUAAUAAUAUGACCGUUGGGUGGAUAAGAUCUGUGAUAGGUGGCGCGUGGUGCGGCAACGGUCGGAACUUUCAACUGUGAAAGUCUUCAUGUCUCUCAUAUUCCUCACUUUGAGGCUUUGGUAGAUUUUGGUUUGGGUUGAGCAUCAUGAGGAAAUUCGUUCCAUAGUUUUACCUUGACCCCCUUUAACAGUACGGUGUUCCUAUGACUCAAGUGUAAGGAAAAUGAAAUAGAAAGAGUAAAUCUUCAAGCUUCAAAGUCUUCAGAGUGUUUUCUUCAGGACACACCGAAUUCCUCAUCUUCAAUAUCUUCAUGAGGAAUAUCAAUUUCUUUGCAAUUUCUUCGCGAUCAAAGUCUGCAAGGAAUGACCAAAGUCUUCACCCGAAGACAUACAUUUUUAGGGGUCAAUUUUCAUCGAAUAACUCAAACUCCUCAACAAUUUAUAGAGCCUGUGUACACUCACAAAAUAUCAGUCUCUUAACCUAUAAGUCUUCAGACCACCAAAAUCACUAAGGGUAACUAGAUGUACUUACAAUUUGGCACACCGCGUUUGCGGGUCGAGUGGGACGAGACAGUGGCCUCUUCCAGUGCGGAGUGGCAUUGUAUUUCUGUGUCGAUGGUGAUCCGGUUGAGUGUAGCAGCGGGUUCUCGAGGCGACAUUGAGAGUGGAUGCGUGGCUUCUUUGCAGUGGGGGCGCCCUUGUGGCUGCGAACGUGUGCGCCAAUCUCGUGCAACCCAAUUGGGCUUGGGCGGAUUGACUAGACGGUGUCGGCUUCACGUCACCAUGGUGGUGCCGGCACCGAGCCUGGAAGUCGCUAGCUGGAUUGAGGCGGUGUGGGGGCCGUGAUACGUCUCAAACGUAUCUAUAAUUUUUGAUGGUUUCACGUUGUUAUCUUGUCAACUUUGGAUGUUUUGUUUACCUUUUAUAUCUUUUUUGGGACUAACUUAUUAACUCAGUGCCAAGUGGCAGUUCCUGUUUUUUCUGUGUUUUUGACUCUUUUCAGAUCUGAUUUUGGAACGGAGUCCAAACAGAAUAAAAUCCCCGAAAUGAAUUUUUCCAGAACGGAAGAAGAUCGGGAGGCUUGAGGGCCAAGCAAGUGGGCCCACAGGGGCCCACAAGCCCUAUUGCCGCAGCCAGGGGGGGGGGGAGGCCGCGGCAACCAAGCUUGUGGCCCCCCCUGGUGCUCCCCUGCCCUAGGUCUUUGGCCUAUAAAUUCCCUAAAAAUCCAGAAAAAAUCAGGGCAUCCACGAAAACACUUUUCCGCCGCCGCAAGCUUCCUUUUCCGCGAGAUCUCAUCUGGAGACCCUUCCCGGUGACCUGCCGGAGGGGACUUUGGAGUUGGAGGGCUUCUUCAUCAACAUCAUCGCCCCUCCAAUGACUCGUGAGUAGUUCACUUUAGAUCUACGGGUCCGUAGUUAGUAGCUAGAUGGCUUAUUCUCUCUCUUGGAUCUUCAAUACAAAGUUCUCCAUGAUCUUCAUGGAGAUCUAUCCGAUGUAAUCCUCUUUGGCGGUGUGUUUGUCGAGAUCCGAUGAAUUGUGGAUUUGUGAUCAUAUUAUCUAUGAUAUAUAUUUGAGUCUUUGCUGAUUUCUUAUAUGCAUGAUUUGAUAUCCUUGUAAGUAUUUCCGAGUCUUGGGUUUUGUUUGGCCAACUAGAUCUAUGAUUCUUGCAAUGGGAGAAGUGCUUGGUUUUGGGUUCAUACCGUGUGGUGACCUUUCCCAGUGACAGAAGGGGCAGCAAGGCACGCAUCGUGUUGUUGCCAUCAAGGUUAACAAGAUGGGCUUUUAUCGUAGAUAUGAGAUUGCCCAUCUACAUCAUGUCAUCUUGCUUAAGGCGUUACUCUGUUCUCAUGAACUUAAUACACUAGAUGCAUGCUAGAUAGCGGUCGACGUGUGGAGUAAUAGUAGUAGAUGCAGAAAGUAUCGGUCUACUUGUUUUGGACGUGAUGCCUAUAGAUAUAAUCAUUGGCAUAAAAACGUCACGACUUUGCGCGGUUCUAUCAAUUGCUCGACAGUAAUUCGUUCACCCACCGUCUACUUGCUUUCAUGAGAGAAGCCACUAGUGAACACUACGGCCCCAGGUCUAUUCACACCUAUCGUUUCCACUUUUGCUUUUACUUUGCUUUGUUUCUUUGUUGCUUUCAGUUCUCACUUGGCAAACAAUCUAUAAGGGAUUGACAACCCCUUCAUAGCGUUGGGUGCAAGCUCUUUGUGUUUGUGCAGGUACUUGUGAUAUUCCUUCACUUGAUCGAUACCUUGGUUCUCAAAACUGAGGGAAAUACUUACCGCCGCUGUGCUACAUCACCCUUUCCGCUUCGAGGGAACACCAAUGCAAGGCUCCAAGGCCACGGGGGAAUCCUUUGCAUAUUUUCCAAGGAAGUCCCUAAAGGCGUAGCCAUAGCAGAAGGAUUCCUGGUGCCGUUGAUGAGGAGUAUCAAGACAAGAAUAGUCUCCCGUCAGCACGCUUGUUUCUGGCGCCGUUGGAAGGUCUUUUGUUGCAGUAGCAGGCCGCUAUAGUGAUGUUUAAGUUGGCGGUCCUUGUGCUCUUUUCGCAUCACUUCAACACCCUGCAUGAUUGGUUUUCCUCUAUUUGGCCAUCGACGUAUUCCAGAACGCUCCUAGGAGAUCUUGCUUAGAAUUUUUGAAUUGGUAAGAUUUCGGUCGUGCACGUUCAUAUCAACCUAUGAGGUUCUGAGGGUUUGGACGAAACUCUAUUGGUUGAUGACACCUUGGGACAUGUCGACAUCUCGAUUUCCAUGAUGAAGAUAACGAUGGAGAAGGCCAUGUGGACGAGAUGAGAAAAUCAGUUAGACCGACGAACCCUUGGUGGCGACGGAGUCUGCCAGGUGUGUGAUAACUCCCAAGAGCAGCAGUGUUAAGUGGGGGCUUCAACACUGGCAGAACAUUUUUGAUGGUACUUGGGUGUCGAGUCAUCACUUUGAGUGUGAAAACAAAAGUCCGACCUUCACUGGUUGUGCCUCGCGAUUGCCUUGGUGAAGGAAUUAUUUUGAGAGUGCGGACUCUCUUCAGGGUGAAAAUCUAAGAUCUUGGAUCGGGCAAUGACGGCGCUUGUGCAUUGUUCCCUAGGUGGUGGUAUGUGUGCUCCCGUUGAGAUGAUUCGAUCGUUAUGGCGGGACCUUUCUUUUUAUUUCCUCCUUUGGCUAUGUGCAUCCUGGAUGUCCUUAUGAUAAAUUUUUGGUGCACAUGCUGGGUAUAAUUGAUAUCUUCCUGAAUAUAUAUAUUUCCCUUUUGAAAAAUUGAAAUAGAAUUAUGCUAUAACAAGAUUUUCCUAGCUCUGAUAAGAGGGAGACGAUGACAGUGGCGUCCGCCUUCAACUCGCUUAACUUCUUGUAGUCAUCGCUAGAUGAUCUAUGCAUAUGGAUGUAAUUUAUAUUUGUAAUGUUAUUUAUACUCCCUUGAUAGUUGAUAAAUAGAUCGAAAGUUUUUUCCAUAAAAGUGGAAGAGAAUUAUUCUACUCUACAUGGACACGAGUGUUUGCCUCUUGCCAUUUAUCUCCCCUGACCCCCUCCUCCUAUUUUGACCUUUUCCCAUUUUAUUGGAAAGUGUGGCAAAAUAUUUGUGUACCCUGUGCCCAUGAUUCCACAAGUUUCAAAACUUAAAAAUCAUAACGUAUGUGGCCAUCUCCAAUCUGACUGCUCGAGUUGAUUAUGCCUAUGCCUUUAGUAUAAGCAUUAUUCCUAUCGUAGUCCACCGAUUGGGCAAGGGAUUGGCGGACCAUUUUUACCCAUGGUAUUUUGUGGGUUUUGGAGGACGUCAAUGUCGUCAACGUCAAAGCUCAUGUUCCCUUCAUCCGCAACCUCAAGACCUCCAACUUUGCAAAGUGGUGCAUGCUCAUCAGCGUCCUUCGCAGCAAGUAUGAGGUGACCUCACCGACCACACCUCCACCAACAUGAUGGCCGCCGAUCGCACAUCUGAGUGGAACCGUGAGUCCCUAAAGUUUAUGGAUGUGGAAUAUUAGGUCGCUCUCCUGCAAAUUCAAUGGCUGCUCAGGCCGGCAAUGGAAUGAAUGAGAGGAAUGGUCUCACAUUCUAAGAUUGUGCUAUGCUGAUUCGGUGUGGUCUGGCUGUUGGAGAAAGUUGCAUGGGAAACAAAAAAUUUCCUACGCACACGAAGACCUAUCGUGGUGAUGUUCAUCUACGAGAGGAUAAUAGAUCCACAUACCCUUGUAGAUUGCUAAGCUGGAAGCGUUAAGAAACGCGAUUGAUGUAGUGGUACAGCUUCGUAAUUCAAAUCACCGUCGUCCCACGAUUCGUUCCGAUCUAGCGCCGAACGGACGUCACCUCCGCUUUGAGCACAUGUACAGCUCAAUUACGAUCUCUGCCUUCUUGAUCCAGCAAGAGAGACGGAGAAGUAGAUGAGUUCCCCGACAGCGUGACGGCGCGCUGAUACGUCUCCGUCGUAUCUACUUUUCCAAACUCUUUUGCCCUUGUUUUGGACUCUAAUUUGCAUGAUUUGAAUGGAACUAACCCGGACUAACGCUGUUUUGAGCAGAAUUGCCAUGGUGUUGUUUUUGCGCAGAAAUAAAAGUUCUCGGAAUGACCUGGAAAUUUACAAGGAUUUUUUGUGGAAUAUAUAAAAAAUAUGGCGCAAGAAUCAACCGGAGCCCACGGAGCUCCACCGCCUCCAAUUCCGGCUCUAUUUAGUCCCUUUCGUCCGGAAAAAAAUAAAGGAGAAGAAUUCAUCGCGUUUUACGAUACGGAGGCGCCGCCACCACCUGUUCUUCCUCUGGAGGAAGAUCUGGAGUCUGUUCUGGGCUCCGGAGAGGGGAGAUCGUCGCCAUCGUCAUCACCAACCUUCCUUCAUCGCCAAUUCCAUGAUGCUUUUCAUCGUUCGUGAGUAAUCUCAUCGUAGGCUUGCUGGACGGUGAUGGGUUGGAUGAGAUCUAUCAUGUAAUUGAGUUAGUUUUGACGGGGAUUGAUCCCUAGUAUCCACUAUGUUCUGAGAUUGAUGUUGCUACUACUUUGCCAUGCUUAAUGCUUGUCACUAGGGCCCGAGUGCCAUGAUUUCAAAUCUGAACCUAUUAUGUUCUCGUCAAUAUAUGCGUGUUCUUGAUCCUACCUUGGAAGUUGUAAUCACCUACUAUGUGUUAUGACCCAGCAACCCCGGAGUGACAAUAGCCGGAAUCACUCCUGGAGAUGACCAUAGUAUGAGGAGUUCAUGUAUUCACUAAGUGCUAAUGCUUUGUUCCGGUUCUCUACUAAAAGGAGAACCUUAAUAUCCCAUAGUUUCCAUUAGGACCCCGCUUCCACGGGAGGGAUGGACAAUAGAUGUCAUGCAAGUUCUUUUCCCUAAGCACAUAUGACUACAUACGGAAUACAUGCCUACAUUACAUUGACGAACUGGAGCUAGUUACAUAUCUCUCCGUGUUAUAACUGUUGCGUGAUGAAUACCAUCCGGCAUAAUCAUCCAUCACCGAUCCAAUGACUACGAGUUUUUUCCUACUGGUCCUUGCUACGUUACUUUCUCGUUACUGCUGUCACUAUUGCUACUGUUACUUUGUCUCUACUGCUGUCACUUCUGCUACUGUUACUCUGUCGCUACUGCUGUCACUGCUGCUACUGUUACCGUUGCUACUGUUGCUAUCACACUACUCUUCUACUGAUACUUUGCUGCAGAUACUAAGUCUUUCAGGUGUGGUUGAAUUGACAACUCAACUGCUAAUACUCGAGAACUGUUGUGAUACUUUGCUCCAGAUACGAAGUCUUUCUUUGGCUUCCCCUUGUGUCAAAUCAACAAAUUUGGGUUGAAUAAUCUACCCUCGAAAACUGUUGUGAUCCCCUAUACUUGUGGGUUAUCAAGACCUUUUUCUGGCGCCGUUGCCAGGGAAGCAUAGCUAUAUUCUCUGAGUCACUUGGGAUUUACGUCUGCUGAUCACUAUGAGGAAUCCGAGAGAUCCAAAAACUAAAGUCUUGCCCUCAACUACGAGGACAGGUAAGGAACUGCCAUCUAGCUCUGCACUUGAUUCACCUUCAGUUAUGAGUAAGUUUGCGACACCACCUCGUGCUAGAAAUUUUGAUGUGUCACCUGUGCUUGAUGAUGCUACUUCUGUUGUCCAUGAUGCUUGUGAUGAUUCUUUGCUUGAUAUUGCUUUGCCACUAGGUGCAUUCCUUGAUACACAAAUUGCUAGAGUUGCUGCUAGAUGUGAUGAUACUUCUGAAACUGCUGAGAUUAUUGAAGUAGAACCUGCUAUUUCACCUGUUAGAACUAGCACUCCUAGAUAUGAAUUGCCUGAUAUGCCUGAGGGUUAUGUUAUGGAGGGAGAGAUAGCUGAGGACUUUCUUGCUUGUAAGGAUAGCUAUGAUGUUGAGAAAUUACUGCACAAGUGGAAACAAAAAUCUUUGAACACUAGGAUGAAAUACAACCCGAAGUUUGCCACUUUGCCUAUCUUUGUGACCGAUAAGGAUUAUGAAUUCUCUGUCGACCCUGAGUUAAUCACUCUGGUCGAAUCUGAUCCUUUUCACGGUUAUGAGUCUGAAAUGGUUGUAGCACAUCUCACCAAACUGCACGAUAUAGCCACCCUAUUCACGAGUGAGGAAAAGAUCCGCCACUACUUUAUCCUUAAGCGGUUUCAUUUCUUGCUAAGGGAUAAUGCUAAGACUUGGUCCACUUCUCUUGCUCCUGGUUGUGUGCGUAGCCCCCAGGAUAUGAUCUACCAUUUCUCUAAAAAAUAUUUCCCUGCCCAUAAGAAGCAAGCUACCUUGCAGGAAAUAUAUAACUUUGCGCAAGUUGAAGAAGAGAGUCUCCCACAAGCUUGGGGGAGGCUCGUCCAGCUACUGAAUGCUUUGCCUGAUCACCCUCCUGAUAAGAAUGAAAUACUUGAUAUCUUCUAUAAUGGACUAAACGAUGCUUCUAAGGACCACCUAGAUAGUUCUGCCGGUUGUGUUUUCAGGGAACGAACCGUAGAACAAGCUGAGAUCCUAUUGAAUAAUAUCUUGUGCAAUGUGAAUGCUUGAACUAUUCCCGAACCACCUCCAAAUCCAACUCCUAAGAAAAGAGGUAUCCUAUUCCUCAGUCCUGAAGAUAUGCAAGAAGCUAAGAAAUCUAUGAAAGAGAAAGGCAUUAAAUCUGAAGAUGUCAAAAAUCUACCACCUAUCGAAGAGAUCCAUGGUCUUGAUAACCCGAUACAGGUAGUAGAGGUAAAUUCUCUUCGUAGAUUCAAUGAGAGUGAUAUUCCUUUUGAUAAACCUGCUAGCUUAUGCCUGUAUGAAUUUGAUAACUUUGUUGCCAAACAACAAAGUUUCAAUGAUUAUGUUAGCAGACAAUUGGAACAGAAUGCUCGUAUGCUUAGUCAUUUAAGUGCUUGUGUGGACAGAAAUGUCAAUGAUCUUAAGCUUUUGAGUAAACAUGCCUCUAUGGUUACUACUCAAGUAGUACAAGUACUUAAGGCUCAAAAUGACUUGCUCAAUGAGUUGAAUGACAAUUCUGUUAGAGUCGUCACUAGAGGCGGUAGAAUGACCCAGGAACCUUUGUAUCCCGAGGGUCAUCCUAAGAGAAUGGAACAAGAUUCUCAAGGACUUAGCACUGAUGCACCUAGUCAUCCUAGAAAGAAGAAGAAAGAUGAUAGGAACUUGCCUGCUAGCAACCCUGAUGCUGUUACACCCGAGAAUCCAGACGAUGUCUCUGUUUCAGAUGCCGAAACACAAUCUGGUGAUGAACAUGAGCCUAAUGAUAAUAUGAAUAGUGGUGUUCAUGAUGAUGCUCAACCUAGCAAUGAUAAUGAUGUGGAGAUUGAACCUGUUGAUCUUGAUAACCCACAGCCUAAGAAUAAGAGAUACAAUAAGAAUGACUUCAUUGCUAGGAAGCAUGGUAAAGAAAGGGAACCAUGGGUUCAGAAACACAUGCCCUUUCCUCCCAAACCAUCCAAGAAAAAAGAUGAUGAGGAUUUUGAGCGAUUUGUUGAAAUGAUUAGACUUGUCUUUCUGCAAAUGCGUUUGACAAAAAUGCUCAAAAUGUCUCCGUAUGCUAAGUACAUGAAAGAUAUUGUGAGUAAUAAGAUUAGGAUACCUGAGGUUGAGAUUUCCACCAUGCUCGCUAAUUAUACCUUCAAGGGUGGAACUCCUAAGAAACUAGGUGAUCCCGGAGUGCCCACUAUACCUUGCUCCAUUAAAGGAAACUACGUUAGAACUGCUUUAUGCGACCUUGGAGCCGGUGUUAGUGUUAUGCCUCUCUCUCUUUAUCGUAGACUUGAAUUGGACAAGUUGACACCCACUGAAAUAUCCUUGUAGAUGGCCGACAAAUCAACUGCUUUCCCUAUCGGCAUUUGCGAGGAUGUGCUUGUUGUGGUUGCUAACAUUACUAUCUUAACGUACUUUGUUAUUCUGGAUAUUCCCGAGGAUGAUGCCAUGGCGGUCAUCCUUGGAAGACCCUUUUUAAACACUGCAAGGGCUGUUAUUGAUUGCAACAAAGGCAAUGUCACUUUCCAUGUCAACGGUAAUGAGCAUACGGUGCACUUUCUGAAGAAACAAUAUCGAGUACAUUGCAUCAAUGCUAUCGAAAAAACUUCAUCGAUUCUUAUUGGGAGCUUCGAAUGCCCUAUACCUACUGUCAAGAUGAAGUAUGAUUUGCUUGUUGGGGAUAUGCACAUCCCCAUUGAGGUAACCUAGUGACUAUUCGAAAAUUCUCUGUUCUUUUUUUACGCGAUUCGAAAAAGUUUGUCAAGGAGACUUGAUCAACCUCAUUGACGGAUUUCUUGCGAUGACCAUGAGACGGAUGAAUCGAGGAGUCACAAACCUCUGUUCCAAGCUUUCACCUUCGGUUGCUUAGAAGAAAAAUGAUAGAUUUAGCUUUAGUUUUCCCUGUUUUCUGAUUUUUGCGUCCCGUAGAAAAGUGUCCCGAAAAUAAAAGUUCUCCGAAUGUCUUGAAAAUCAAGUUAGAUUUUUCUGGAAUUUUUGAAAAAUUCUGAGACGGAGAGCUAGUCAGGGGGAUGCACGAGUGGGCCACAUGCCCUGGAGGCGCGGCCACCCCCUGGCCACGCCUACCAGGCUUGUGGGGCCCACGUGUCCCCUAUCCACUUAUUCUAGCUCCCAUCUCCUUCUCCUACCUCCAGAAAAAAUCGUUUCGUAGCUCAAACCCGUGUUCUUGCUCUUCCUGCUGCGAUUUUCGAUCUCUUUGUGCAAAGCACCAUUCACUAAACUGUUUUGGGGAAAUUGCUCCUUGGUAAGUGACUCCUCCAUUGGUCCAAUUAGUUUUUGCUCUACUGCCUUAUACGUUGCGUAUUUUGCUGCCUUGGUGACCUUGUUCUUGAGCUUUGCAUGCUUAUUUUAGCUGAUCCCAAGUAGUUUUGAUGCGUGAUAUGGUCUCUAGGCACUUGUCGGAGUUGUUGCUAUGAGUUUUGUUGAGCCUUGUUCACUUUUCCUUAGAGUCACUAAAAAUUUCAGAAAUUUUUAGAGAUAGAAAAAGGAAAAGAUGAGGAGGUUCUUAAGAGGCUCUUCAAGCCGUGACCCCAAGGAUGAUAAAAAUGAGAAGAAGAAACCCAAGUAUCCGGUCCCCCGAGUUGAAGAAGUUCGAGCGUGCGUGUGGCCAAGCGAUGUGUUCCUACGCGCCACCGGACUUUAUGAGGACUUUUACUACUUGGUGGAGAAUGCAGGCCUUAUCGCCUUCGUUGAAGAUAAGUGUCUGCAAUACCUCCUCCUCACUAAUAUUUUCGUGCAAAGCUUUAAUUUCUAUCCAAGGAAGAGUCCUCCUAUGGUUGAGUUAAAAUUAUAUGAUAUCCCCCAACGCAUGUCACUUCAGGAUUUUUACAAUGUUUGCAAAUUACCUUAUGUUGGGGAUAUUCAUGAACCUCGUCCACGGGACUCGGAGGCUUUCAUAGAUACUAUUGCUGUAGGAGAGGAGAGAGGAGUUACUUGCGCUAGAGCUGCUAGCAUACAUUUUCCCGUGCUUCGGUACUUCUCAUUAUUCAUGGGAAAAUGUUUGAUUGGCCCUAGGAAAGAUGGGGCCCUUUGCUCCCCAGAUCUUGCGGUUUUGCACGAAGCCCUUUAUAAUGAUAAAACUUAUAGCUUGGGCGCUAUAGUAGUUCAACGGUUGAACACGAACCAUUCUAAAGGCGUUGUUUAUGGAGGUAUUUAUGCUACCCGUCUUGCUAGACAUUUUGAGAUACCUAUUAGACUGCACGAGGAAGAAGAUAUUCUUCUUCCUGAGAGAUAUCUAGAUUAUGAUAGCAUGGUUCGCCAUGACUUUUUGGAUAAAGAUAUAAAUAAGAGGAUGAUUUAUAACCUGGUAUUUAGUCAGGGUACUCGUGAGACUAUUACCUUGCCUGCUCCUUCUUUGUUCGAUCUUCAUUUAGGCUGGUAAAUUAUUAUGCCCUUGGACAUCUAUGCAUAUUGGGGCAUAGCCCAACCACAAGAGCCCGUGCCCGAGCUACGAGUCGAGUACCAGACACCAAUUUAUCAAUGGGAGCCAGAGGAGCUCACAUAGCAGUGGCACCCUCAGUACACUCCGGAGUACCCCAGAUACGGUUAUUUCCCUCCUUGGGAGUAGACCAACUUAGGCCAAAAGCCUAAGCUGGGGGAGUACGUGUUUCUCACCGACUUUAUAUUCAUGCUUACGCUUUCACUUUGUUAGUCGGUGUUCACACUUUUCCACUAUAUCAUCCAUGCUAGUUUAUUUAUUUUUCUCGUUUUCUUCUCAAGUGUUUGUCUAGUUUGAGAAAACCCAAAAAUAUUUCUCAUUCUUCUUUUGCUUGUUGGGAGCUUUCCCGUGUAUAUAGUUUUCUUUUUCUUUGGGUCAAGGUAGAAGACCAUGGUUACAAUGUUUAGUGGCUCUCGCAUGCAUAUCGGUUUAUCUAUCAAAGAGCCAUAUUACUUUGUCUUCUCCUUUGUGUUUGCUUGCAGAUUCCAGCUUAGUCCAAUGCACGAGCACUCUUAUUAUUGUUCACAUCAUUCGGUCGUGCAAGUGAAAGGCAAUAAUGACGAUAUAUGAUGAAGUGACCGAGCCUGGAAAAGCUGGUAUGAACUCGAUCUAUUUUGUUUUUGUAAAUAUGACUAGCUCAUCGUUUCUAGUUCAGCUUUGUUGUGAGAGAAGCAUGUUUUUAAUGACAACUUAGAGAUCAUAGUUUCUGAUGCCAUGCUUAAUUAGCUAGGAGCUUAUAAUGGUUUGUCUUGGAUGCCAACAUGAAUUUUGAGAUGAUUACGAUGUAGUGUGAUAGGAUGGUAUCCUCCUUUGAAUGAUUCAAGUGGCUUGACUUGGCGCAUGUUUACGCAUGUAGUUGAAACAAAAUCAACAUAGCCUCUAUGAUAUUCAUGUUCAUGGUGAUUUAUUUCCUACUCAUGCUUGCACUCAAUGUUGGUUAAUCUCAAUGCAUUUUGAUGACUGUUGUCGCUCUCUAGUUGGUCGCUUCCCAGUCUUUUGCUAGCCUUCACUUGUACUAAGCGGGAAUACUGCUUGUGCAUCCACUUCCAUAAACCCAAAGUUGUUCCAUAUGAGUCCACCAUACCUACCUAUAUGCGGUAUCUACCUGCCGUUCCAAGUAAAUUUGCAUGUGCCACUCUCUAAACCUUUAAGAAAUAAUCUGUUUUGCAUGCCGGAACCGCUCAUGUGGUGACAAGUGGCAAUCAGUAUCUUCCAUGCUAGGCGUGUUAUCCUCGAUAUGUGUUUAUUCACUAUCAUUCACGAGAAAGGGGCCGGUAAUUGGAAUGCCCAGUUCCAUGCUCAAAUCGAAAAGAUAGUUGCAAACAAAACUCCCGCUGAAUUGAUGUUGGUAUGGACGGCACCCGAGUAUUCGGCUAGUCGUGGAGUGUGAUUGAUUGGUGGUGGGGGAGUCAAAACUUUACUUUUCUGUUUGGAAACUGCCUAUAGUAUGUGUAGCAUGGAAGAUGGUGAAAACUCUUGGUCAUUGCGUUGACAAUGAAAGCAUGCCACCCAAAAUUAUUAUCUCUAUUUUAAAAGCUUGAGCUCUGGCACCUCUGCAAAUCAAUGCUUCCCUCUGUGAAGGGCCUAUGUAUUUAUGUUCCUAUUGAGUCAUCCUCUUCUUAUGAAAGCACCAGUUUGAGAGCACCUCCGUCAUUUUUAUGCUUUGCUUUUGACUGAUGUUGAGUAUGACUGUGACUGGAUCUUCUUUGCCAUGAAUUACAAUGUUCAGUCAGCCCUUGGUCUUUGAAGGUGCUCUGCAUUUAUGUUUUGCGGUCUCAGAAAGAGCUAGCGAGAUACCAUCUGUUCAUACUGCUUCAUGAUUGUUUUGAUUGAAGUGUUGACGUUUGAAACUUAUUAUUAUUGAUCGCUAGUUGAUUAUGCCAGUGAUAUGAGUUUACCGUGAGACCUAGAUGUCAUUGCUUAUGUGGUUUGCUUAUGAUCUUGCUGAAAAUCUGAAUAUGAGUUAGACAUAGUUGCAACAACAAGAUCAAACAGAGUCUGUAAAAGUUUUUCUUUUGUCUCUUUCAGUUUGUCAACUGAAUUGCUUGAGGACAAGCAAGGCUUUAAGGUUGGGGGAGUUGAUACGUCUCUGUCGUAUCUACUUUUACAAACUCUUUUGCCCUUGUUUUGGACUCUAAUUUACAUGAUUUGAAUGGAACUAACCCGGACUAACGCUGUUUUCAGCACAAUUGCCAUGGUGUUGUUUUUGCGCAGAAAUAAAAGUUCUCGGAAUGACCUGGAAAUUUACGAGGAUUUUUUGUGGAAUAUAUAAAAAAUACUGGCGCAAGAAUCAACCAGAGAAGUGGAGCGUGGAGCCCACAAGCCCACCAGGCGCGCCCCCCCUGGCCGCGCCUAGUAGGCUUGUGGGGCCCACGGAGCUCCACCUCCUCCAAUUCCAGCUCUAUUUAGUCUCUUUCGUCCGGAAAAAAAUAAAGGAGAAGAGUUCAUCGCGUUUUAUGAUACGGAGGCACCGUCACCACCUGUUCUCCCUCUGGAGGGCAGAUCUGGAGUCCGUUCUAGGCUCUGGAGAGGGGAGAUAAUCGCCAUCGUCAUCACCAACCUUCCUUCCUCGCUAAUUCCAUGAUGCUCUUCAUCGUUCAUGAGUAAUCUCAUCGUAGGCUUGCUGGACGGUGAUGGCUUGGAUGAGAUCUAUCAUGUAAUUGAGUUAGUUUUGACGAGGAUUGGUCCCUAGUAUCCACUAUGUUCUGAUAUUGAUGUUGCUACUACUUUGCCAUGCUUAAUGCUUGUCACUAGGACCCGAGUGCCAUGAUUUCAGAUUUGAACCUAUUAUGUUCUCGUCAAUAUAUGUGUGUUCUUGAUCCUAUCUUGCAAGUUGUAAUCACCUACUAUGUGUUAUGACCCGGCAACCCCGGAGUGACAAUAGCCGGAACCACUCCCGGAGAUGACCAUAGUAUGAGGAGUUCAUGUAUUCACUAAGUGCUAAUGCUUUGUUCCGGUUCUCUAUUAAAAGGAGAAAUUUAAUAUCUCGUAGCUUCCAUUAGGUCCCCGCUGCCACGGGAGGGAUGGACAAUAGAUGUCAUGCAAGUUCUUUUCCCUAAGCACGUAUGACUACCUACGGAAUACAUGCCUACAUUACAUUGACGAACUGGAGCUUGUUACAUAUCUCUCCAUGUUAUAACUGUUGCAUGAUGAAUAACAUCUGGCAUAAUCAUCCAUCACCGAUCCAAUGCCAACAAAUUUUUUCCUACCGGUUCUUGCUACGUUACUUUGUCGCUACUGUUGUCACUGCUGCUACCGUUACUUUAUCGCUACUGAUGUCACUGCUGCUACUGUUACUCUGUCGCUACUGUUGUCACUGCUGCUACUAUUACCGUUGCUACUGUUGCUAUCACACUACUCUUCUACUGAUACUUUGCUGCAGAUACUAAGUCUUUCAGGUGUGGUUGAAUUGACAACUCAACUGCUAAUACUCGAGAAUAUUCUUUGCCUUCCCCUUGUGUCGAAUCAACAAAUUUGGGUUGAAUACUCUACCCUUGAAAACUGUUGCGAUCCCCUAUACUUGUGGGUUAUCACGCACCGGUGGUGGUGAUGAUCUACUCCUCCAGGGCUUCGCCCGAGCUACACAGAAAUCCGAUCUAGAGGAAGAACUACGUGGUAUAGGUUUGAGUUGCAUGUGGCAAAGUUCUGUCUCAAAAGCCCUAAAACCACCAAUAUAUAUAGGAGGAGGGGAGGGGCUAGCCUUGGGGCUCAAGGGAUCCCCAAGGGCACCGGCCGAUUGGGAGGAGGUGGACUCCCACCCCAAUUCGGUUUGGGGGAAGGAGUCCACUCCUUCCUUCCCACCUCCCUCUUUCCUUUGGUUUUUCCACUUGUGGCGCCAUAGCCCUCUUGGACUGGCCUCACCAGCCCACUAAGGGCUGGUGCACCACCCUAGGGUCACUGGGCUCACUCCGGGUGGGUGGGCCCCUCCCGAUGAAUACCCGAAACCCAUUCGUCACUCCCGGUACACUGCCGGUAAUGCCCGAAAUCUUUCCAGUGACCAAAUGAAACUAUUCUAUAUAUCAAUCUUUGUUUCCGGACCAUUCCAGAAACCCUCGUGACGUCUGUGAUUUUAUCCGGGACUCCGAAGGUCACCAACACAUAUAACUCAACUAUUCUAAAACAUCAUCGAACCUUAAGUGUGCAGACCCUACGGGUUCGAGAACUAUGUAGACAUGACCCGAGAAACUCCUCAGUCAAUAUCCAACAUCGGGACCUGAAUGUCCAUAUUGGAUCCUACAUAUUCUACAAAGAUUUUAUCGGUUGAACCUGUGUGCCAAGGAUUCAUAUAAUCCCGUAUAACAUUCCCUUUGGCCUUCGGUAUGUUACUUGGCCGUGAUUUGAUCGUCGGUAUCCCUAUACCUAUUUCAACCUCGUUACCGGUAAGUCUCUUUACUCGUUCCAUAAUACAAGAUCCCGUGACUUACACUUGAGUCACAUUGCUUGCAAGCCUUGUAUGUGAUGUUGUAUUACCGAGUGGGCCCCGAGAUACCUCUUCGUCACACGGAGUGACAAAUCCGAGUCUUGAUCCAUGCUAACUCAAUGGAGACCUUCGGAGAUACCUGUAGAGCACCUUUAUAGUCACCCAGUAACGUUGUGACGUUUGAUAAACACAAUUUAUUCCUCCGGUGUCAGUGAAUUACAUGAUCUCAUGGUCAUAGGAAUGAAUACUUGACACACAGAAAACAAUAGCAACAAAAUGACACGAUCACAUGCUACGUUCAUAGUUUGGGUCUAGUCCAUCACAUGAUUCUCCUAAUGAUGUGAUCUAGUUAUCAAGUGACAACACUUGCAUAUGAUCAGAAAACCUUAACCAUCCUUGAUCAACUGGCUAGCAAACUAGAGGCUUGCUAGGGACAUUGUUUUGUCUAUAUAUCCACACAUGUAUCUAUGAUUUCAUUCAAUACAAUUAUAGCAUGGAUAAUAAACGAUUAUCUUGAAACAUGAAAUAUAAUAAUAACUAUUUUAUCAUUGCCUCUAGGGCAUAUUUCCAACACCGCUAUUGGUGAUUGGCCAUAGAGAUGUAUCGGUCAUGUAUGCAUAGUUCUCGAACCCACAAGAUGUGCACACUUAACGUUCGGUGACGAUAUAGAUGUACUUGAGUUUGUGUUGGUGACCAAAGGUUGUUUGGAGUCCCGGAUGAAAUCCCAGACAUCACGAGGAGCUCCAAAAUUGUCCAGGGGUAAAUAUUUAUAUAAAGGAAAGUAGUAUUCGGGUUUUGAAAAAGUUUCUGGUAUUGUACCGGGAGUGCCGAAAGGGUUCCGGGGUCCACCCACCCCGGGGGCCCACAUGGGCUUAGGAGUGUGGCACACCAGCCCCUGAUGGGCUAGGCGCCCCACCUAAAUAGGCUCAUGCGCCCAAGAGGUAGGUGGGGAGGUGCCUAGAGGAGGAGGGAGUCCUCCCCUUGGGCUACCACCUCCCUUGUGGGAGGUGGACUCCUCCCCACUUGGCUGGCAAGCCCUUCCUUGGAAGAGGGGCCAAGGAUACACCCUACCUACCCCUUCCAACUAUAAAUAGAGAGGGAGAGGGAGGCAGCCAACACACCAAACCUUGGUGGCGCCCUUCCUCUCUCUCACUAGAUCAUUUUCUCAUCCGCCGCGUUGCGGCAGCGCUUGGCGAAGCCCUGCCGAGAUCGCACCACCAGCACUACCAGCAUGCUGUCGUGCUAUCCGAGAACUCAAUCCCUACUUUACCAUCGAUCGCUGGAUCGAGGAGGCAAAGGCGUCAUCGAGCUGUACGUGGGAGUAACAUGGAGGUGCCAUCCAUUUGACACUAGAUCAGGAAGUUCGUGAUUGUGUCGCGGGGCGAAUCAUGAUUGGAUCGCAAAGACGUUUGACUACUCAACCGUGUUUCUCAAUGCUUCCUCUUAGCUAUCUACGAGGGUAUGUAUAUGCACUCCCCCUCUCGUAGAUGUUGAUAUCCAUAUAUUGAUCUUGGUGAGCGUUGGAAUUUUUUUGUUUCCCAUGCGACGUUCCCCAACCGUGGCAUCAUGAGCUAGGUCUAUGCAUAGAUAACACGCACGAGUAGAACACAAAAGAGUUUGUGGGCAUUGAUGUUCAAAUUUCUUACUUCCAUAGUAUUAUUUUGAUUAGGCAUUAUUGUGGGAUGAAGCGGACCGGACUAACCUUACUCGUCCACGUGCGAGAGACAGUUUUAUUGACUUACAUGCAACUUGUUGCAUAAAGAUGGCUGGCGGGUGUCUGCCUCCCCCACUUUAGUUGAAUCAGAUUCGGCAGAGGUGGUCCUUGUAGAAGGUUAAAUAGGAACUUGAAUAUCACCGUUGUGGCUUUGCAUUGAUAAGAACGGUUCUUGCUAGUCACCCAUAGCAGCCACGUAAAACAUGCAAUAAAAAAGUAGAGGACAUCUAACUUGUUUUUGCAAGGUAUGUCGUGAUAUGAUAUGGCCAAGGACAUGAUGAGAUAUAUGAGAUGGUCAUGUUUUGUAUACAUUAUCACCACUUGCAUGUCGAUGAUAACGGAAACCAACAUGAGUCAUUGGGUUGUCUUUAAUGAUUUCUGUCUUUUUUUGCUUUACUUGAUCGCUAUGAGUUAGCAAUAGUGGUAGAAGCAUCGUUGGCGUGACAACCUCAAUGGUGACGCGAUGAUGACGAUGGAGAUCAUGCCGGUGCUUUGGAGAUGGAGAUGAAAAGCACAAGUUGAUGAUGGGCAUACCAUGUCACUAUUAUGAUUUGCAUGUGAUGUUAAUCCUUUUAUGCAUCUUAUUUUGCUUAGGACGACGGUAGCACUAUAAGAUGAUUCUUCACUAAAAUUUCAAGAUAAAAUUGUGUUCUCCCCAAGUGUGCACCGUUGCAAAGGUUCAUCGUUGUGAGGCACCACGUGAUGAUUGGGUGCGAUAGACUCUAUGUUCGCAUACAACACGUGUAAGCAAGUUUUGCGCAUGCAUAACACUUGUGUUAAUCUUGAAGAGCCUAGCAUGUACAUACAUGGCCUCGGAACACACGAGAUCGAAAGGUCGAACACGGGUCAUAUAGUAGAUAUGAUCAACAUGGAGAUGUUCACCAUUGAAACCACCUCAUCUCACGUGAUGAUCGGAUUUCGAUUGGUGGAUCUGGAUCAUGUCAUAUUCAAACAACACGAGGGAUGUUGAGUUGACUGGGAGUUCUUAAGUAAUAUGAUUAAUUGAACUCAUUAUCACGAACAAUAGUCUAAGUUGUCUUUGCAAAUUAUGUUGUAGAUCAAUGGCUCACGCAGUAGCUCCCCUAAAUUUUAAUGCGUUUCUAGAGAAAGUUAAGUUGAAAGAUGAUGAAAUAAACUUUGUGAACUGGGUAUGUAAUCUGAGGAUUACCCUCAUGGCUUCUCAAAAGACUUAUGUCCUUGAUGCGCCGCUUGGUGCGCCAGACCCUCUAGCGCCGUCUGUGGAUGUUGUGAACGAGUGGCAAACACGUGUUGAUGACUACAUGAUAGUUCAGUGCACCAUGUUGUACGGCUUAGAAUCGGGACUUCAAAGGCGUUUUGAACGUCAUGGAGCAUAUGCGAUGUUUGAGGAGUUGAACUUUGUUUUUCAAGCAAAUGCCCAGAUUGAGAGGUAUGCGACCUCCGAUAAAUUCUUUGCCUACAAGAUGGAGGAGAAUAGUUGUGUCAGUGAGCACAUACUCAGAAUGUUUGGGUACUACAACUGUUUGACUCAGUUGGGAGUGGAGCUUCCGCUCGAGACAGUCACUGACAGAGUUCUUGAGUCACUGCCACCUAGCUAUAAGGGCUUCGUGAUGAACUAUAAUAUGCAAGGUAUGAACAAGUCAGUCUUUGAGUUGUCCGCGAUGCUGAAAGUCGCGGAAGUAGAAAUCAAGAAGGAGCAUCAAGUGUUGGUGGUCAAUAAAACCACUAGUUUCAAGAAGGGCAAGGGAAACAAGGGUAAUUUCAAGAAGAAUGAAAAAGCAGUUGCCGCUCCCUUCAAGAAACCCAAGGGUGGACCCAAGCCUGAGACCGAGUGCUUCUGUUGCAAGGGAAUUGACCACUCGAAGUGGAACUCCCGAAGUAUCUGGCCGAUAAGAAGGCUCGCAAGGUCAACAAAGGUAUAUAUAAUAUACAUGCUAUUGAUGUGUACCUUACUAGCUCCACAGUAGUACAUGGGUAUUUGUUACCGGUUCAGUUGCUCAUAUUUGUAACUCGAAGCGGGAACGAUGGAAUAAAUGGAUGCUUUCAAAGGAUGAAUGAGGAUGCGCAUGGGAAAUGGUCCAUGGUUAAUGUGAUCGCCGUCAACACACUCGCUCUUCAAUUACCAUCGGGAUUAGUGAUGAACCUAAAUAAUUGUUAUUUGGUGCAUGUGUUAAGCAUGAACAUUAUAUCUGGAUCUUGUUUAAUGCGAGAUGGUUACUCAUUUAAAUCAGAGAAUAAUGGUUAUUCUAUUUAUAUAAGUAAUAUCUUUUAUGGUCAUGCACCCAAUGUGAAUGGUUUAUUCUUGUUGAAUCUCAAUAGUGAUAAUACACAUAUUUAUAACAUGAUGCCAAAAUAUGUAGAGAUAAUAAUGAUAGUACCACUUUCUUGUGGCACUGCCGCUUAGGCCAUAUUGGUGUCAAACGCAUGAAUGAGCUCCAUGCUGAUUUUCUUUUGGAGUCACUUGAUUUUGAAUCACUUGACACAUGUGAACCAUGCCUCAUGGGCAAGAUGACAAAAACCCCGUUUUCCGGUAUAAUGGAACGGGCAAAUGACUUGUUUGAAAUCAUACAUACUGAUGCAUGCGGUCCAAUGAGUGUUGAGGCGUGCGGUGGAUAUUGUUACAUUCUCACCUUCACUAAUGAUUUGGGUAGAUAUGGGUAUAUUCACUUGAUGAAGCACAAGUCUGAAACAUUUGAAAAGUUUAAGGAAUUUCAGAGUGAAGUUGAGAAUCAUCAUACCAAGAAGAUUAAAUUCUUGCAAUCUGAUCGAGGAGGAGAAUAUUUUAUGAGUUUGUCAUGCACUUAAGAGAAUGUGGAAUUGUUUCACAACCCACGCCACCUGGAACACCACAGCACAAUGGUGUGUUUGAACGUCAUACUUUAUUGGAUAUGGUGCGUUCUAUGAUGUUUAUUACCGAUUUGCCACUAUCAUUUUGGGGUUAUGCAUUAGAGACAAUUGCAUUCACUUUAAAUAGGGCCCCAUCUAAGUCCGUUGAGAUGAAACCGUAUGAAUUAUGGGUUGGUAAGAAACCUAAGCUGUCAUUUCUUAAAGUUUGGGGAUGCGAUGCUUAUGUCAAAAGGUUUCAAGCUGAUAAGUUUGAACCCAAAGCGGAUCAAUGCAUAUUCAUAGGAUACCCAAAGGAAACAAUUGGGUACAACUUCUAUCUAAGAUUCGAGGGAAAGUGUUUGUCGCUAGGAACGGGUGCUUUCUUGAGAAAGAGUUUCUCUCAAAGGAAUUGAGUAGGAGGAAGAUAGAACUUGAUGAGGUUGUUGAACUGGCACUUCAACCGGAGAGUAGCACAAUGCAGGAAGAUGUUCCCAUGGCGCCUAUAUCAGUUGAAGAAGAAGCUAAUGGUGGUGAUCAUGAAGCUUCAGAUCAAGUUACCAUCAAACCUCAUAGGUCGACAAGGACACGUACUGCUCUUGAGUGGUACGGUAAUCCUGCCUUCGAGGUCAUGUUGUUGGAAAACGAUGAACCUACGGGCUAUGGAGAAGCGAUGGUGGGCUCGGAUUACAACAAAUGGUUAGUGGCCAUGAAAUCUAAGAUGGGAUCCAUGUAUGAAAAUGAAGUAUGGACUUUGGAAGUAUUACCUGAAGGUCAGAAGGCUAUUCAGAACAAAUGGAUCUUUAAGAGGAAGACGAACACAGACAGUAAUGUCACCAUUUAUAAAGCUCGACUUGUGGCAAAGGGGGUUUCACAAGUUCAAGGAGUUGACUAUGAUGAUACUUUCGCACCCAUAGCAAUGCUUAAGUCCGUCAGAAUCAUGUUAGCAAUAACUGCGUUUUUCGGUUAUGAAAUUUGGCACAUGGAUGUCAAAAUAGCGUUCCUUAAUAGUUUCAUUAAGGAAGAGUUGUAUAUGAUGCAACCGGAAGGUUUUGUCGAUCCAGAGAAUGCUGACAAAGUACGGAAGCUCCAACGAUCCAUUUAUGGACUAUUGCAAGCAUCUUGGAGUUGGAAUAUUUGCUUUGAUGAGGUGACCAAAGAGUUUGGGUUUAUAUAAGUUUAUGGAGAAUAUUUUAUUUACAAGAAAGUGAGUGGGAGCUCUAUAGUGUUUCUAAUAUUACAUGUUGAUGACAUAUUACUAAUCGUAAACAAUAUAGAAUUUUUGGAAAGCGCGAAGGUCUAUUUGAAAAAGAGUUUUUCAAUGAAAGACCUCAGAGAAGCUGCUUACAUAUUAGGCAUCAAGAUCUAUAGAGAUAGAACAAGACGCUUAAUAGGACAUUCAGAAAGCACAUACUUUGACAAGGUUUUGAAGAAGUUCAAACUUGAUUAGUCCAAGAAGGGGUUCUUGCAUGUCCUACAAGGUGUGAAGUUGAGUAAGACUCAAUGCACAACGACCUUAGAGGAUAAAGAAAAGAUGAGUGUCAUCCCCUAUGCUUCAGCCAUAGGCUCUAUAAUGUAUGCGAUGCUGUGCACUAGACCAGAUGUUAGCCUUGCCAUAAUUAUGGUCAAAAGGUUUCAAAGUCAUCCAAGAAUAUACCACUUGACAACGGUCAAGAAUAUCCUUAAGUACUUGAAAAGGCCUAAGGAUAUGUUUCUCGUUUAUGGAGGUGAUCAAGAGCUCGUCGUAAAGGGUUACGUCGAUGCAAGCUUUGACACUGAUCCGGGUGACUCUAAGUCCCAAUCCGAAUACAUAUUUAUUCUAAAUGGUGGAGAGGUAAGCUUGUGUAGUUCCAAGCAAAGCGUGGUAGAUGAUUAUACAUGUGAAGUACAGUACAUAGAUGCUUCGGAAGCAGCGAAGGAAGGUGUGUGGAUGAAGCAGUUGAUGAUGGAUCUUGGAGUUGUGUCGAGUGCACUAGAUCCAGUGACCCUGUUUUGUGACAACACUCAUGUCAUUGCUCUAGCCAAGGAACCAAGGUUUCACAAAAGGACCAGACACAUAAAGAGACACUUAAAUUCCCUCCGCGAUUAUAUCAAGGAGGAGGACAUAAACAUUUGCAAAGUACAUACGGAUCUGAAUGUUGCAAAUGCGUUGACUAAACCUCUUCUACGGGAAAAACAUGAUCAACGCCAGAACUCUAUGGGUGUUAGAUUCAUUACCUUGUAAAUACUAGAUUACUGACUCUAGUGCAAGUGGGAGACUGUUGGAAAUAUGACCUAAAGGCAAUAAUAAAGUGGUUAUUAUCAUAUUUCCUUGUUCAUGAUAAUAGAUUAUUAUUCACGCUAUAAUUGUAUUGAUUGGAAACUAAAAUACAUGUGUGGGUACAUAGACAACAAAGUGUCCCUAGUAUGCCUCUACUGGAUUAGCUCGUUGAUCAAAUAUGGCUAAGGUCUCCUAGCCAUAGACAUAAGUUGUCAUUUUAUAACUAGAUCACAUCAUUAGGAGAAUGAUGUGAUGGACAAGGCUCAAACCUUAAGCAUAACGUUUGAUCGUAUCCAGUUUACUGCUAUUGCUUUCUACAUGUCAAUGUAUCUAUUCCUGUGACCAUGAGAUGAUGAAACUCACUGACACCGGAGGAAUGCGUUGUGUGUAUCAAAUGUCGCAACAUAACUCGGUGAUUAUAAAGGUUCUCUACAGGUAUAUCCAAGGGUGUUUGUUGAGUUGGCAUGGAUCAAGACUGGCAUUUGUCAUCCGUGUGACACAGAGGUAUCUCAGGGCCCACACGGUAAUACAACAUCACAGUAAGCUUGCAAGCAAUGUGACUGAGGAUUUAGUCAUGGGAUCUUGUAUUACGGAAUGAGAAAACAGGCUUGCAACUAACGAGAUUGAACUAGGUAUGGAGAUACCAACAACCGAAUCUCGGGCAAGUAACGUACCAAUUGACAAAGGGAACUCCAUAUGGGAUUCACUGAAUCCUUGACAUCGUGUUUCGACCGAUAAAGAUCUUCGUACAAUAUGUAGGAACUAAGAUGGGCAUCCAGGUAUCGCUUUUUUUUACUAUAGAGGUGUCUAAAAAAUGUCUACAUAUUUCUCGAACCCGCAGUGUGUGCACACUUAAAGUUCGGUGAUGAUAUAGAUGUAGUUGAGUUAUUGUGUUGGUGACCAAAGGUUAUUCGGAGUCCCGGAUGCGAUGCCGGACGUCACAAGGAGCUCUGGAAUGGUUUGGAAGUAAAGAUUUAUAUAUUGGAAAGUGGUAUUCAGGUUCUGGAAAAGUUUCAUGUUUUUUCGGUGUUGUACCGGGAGUGCCGAAAGGGUUCCGACAGUCCACCGUGGGGGUCCACCCACCCCGGGGUCCAACAUGUGCAUAGGAGUGAGGCACACCAGCCCCUUAUGGGCUGGGCGUCCCACCUAAAGAGGCCCAUGCGCCCAAGAGAUAGGUGGGAGGUGCCUUGAGGAGGAGGGACUCCUCCCCACUUGGCUGGCCAGCCCUCCCUUGGAGGAGGGGCCAAGGCUGCGCCCUACCUACCCCUUCCUCUUAUAAAUAGAGAGGGAGAGGGAUUCACCCAACACACAAAGCCUUUGUGGCGCCCUCCCUCUAUCUCGCUAGAUCGUUUUCUCCUCCGUCGUGUCGCAGCAGCGCUUGGCGAAGCCCUUCCGAGAUCGCACCACCACCACGCCAUCGUGGUGCCGGAGAACUCAACCUCUAGUGCACCAUUGCUUUCUGGAUCAAGGAAAUGAAGGCAUCAUCAAGCUAUACAUAUGCAGAACGCGGAGGUGCCAUACGUUUGACACUUGAUCGGACGUUCGUGAUUAGAUUGUGGGACGGAUCAUGAUUGGAUCACGAAUAUGUUCGACUACAUCAAUUGCGUUUCUUAAUGCUUCCUCUUAGUGAUCUACAAGGCCACUACAGAAAUCAGCUUCUUUGCCGACUGCCAUCACAGACGGCAAAGAAGUCCACACUGACGGCAAAGAGCUUUGUCGUCUGCCACCUGUCGGUAAAGAUUUUGCGUCAGCCUACGGCGGCAUUGUAGCUUCUUUGCCGUCAGCCUACACUAAGCGAGACAAAGCUCUUUGCCGUCAGUGUCGGACACUGAGCAGUCGGCAAAGAGUUUGAGACGGCAGCCGACAGGCGCCGCCUCCGUUAGGGCUAACGGAGGCUUUGCCGUCUGCUUCCCUCCGCAUCUUUGCCGUCUGCCUCCCUACCGCUUUGCCGUCAGCCUCCAGAGGCAGCGGACGGCAAAGAGCCCAUAUGGCCAGCUGCUCCUGCCCAGGUUGCACAGGUGGGUGCCACGUGGCCUCUUUGCCGUCUGCUCCCUGGUGGCAAAGGCCUUUGCCAUCAGCUGGCAGACGACAAAGAGCCCAAAUUGUCACUUUUUUAGUUUAUUUUUUCUAUUUCACAGCACACACAUAUAUAUAAUUCAUAGCACAUAUAUGAUAUAUAGGUCACAACACAUAUAUGAUAUACAUAUAAAGUUCAUCAAUGCCAUUUGUUCAUCAUAGUACAUCCCAUAUAUCGAAAGAACCAACACAUACAAAGUUUCAUCCAUAUAUACAUACAUAUAGUUCCACAUAUAUUGUUCAUCCAUAUAUACAUAUACAUCUAGUUGCACAUUGUUCAUCAACUCAAAUAAAAACUAGAACUAAAGCACUUCAAUGCCAGCUUCCAUGCAUGUAGUACAUCCAAUCUGCAAAAUGGAAAUAACAAAGUCAGAAGAAGAACAACAACAACAUAUAUAUAUAUGACAAAUAAGCUAAAUUGAAUAAGAAAGAGAAGAAGCAAUAAUAGAAGAAGGAGAAGAAAAACAAGAAUAAGGAGGAGGAGGAGGAGGAGGAGAAGGAGAAGGAGAAGGAGGAUAAGAGGAGAAUAAGAAGGAGAAGAAGGAGGAGAAGAAGAAGGAGAAGAAGGAGGGAGAAGAAGAAGGAGGAGAGAAGAAGGAGAAGAAGGAUAAGAAGGAGGGCUCCUUCUCCUCCUCCUCAUUCUCCUUCUUCUUCUCUUCUUCUUCUUCUUCUUCCUUCUUUUCUUUUUUCCUCUUUCUUCUUCUCCUCCUCCUCUUCUUCUUCUCUUCUUCUUCUUCUUCUCCUCCUCCUCCUCUUCUCCUCUUCUUCCUCCUCUUCUUCUUCCUCUUAUUUCUAUUUCUAUUUUUCUUUAUCCUAAUAGGCCAUUUUGGAGCUCCUUCUCCUUCUUCUCCUCCUCCUUCUUCUCCUUCUCCUUCUCUUCUUUUUCUCUUCUUCUUUUUCUUCUUCCUUUUCAUUUAUACUCUUCUCCUCUUCUUGGAGCUAAACGAUCUAACUAUGUCUUUUUGGAGCUAAAUGGGCUAAUCAUGUCAUUUAGGAGAGAACUUUGCUAAUUAUGUCAUUUAGGAGAGAACUUAGAUAAUUAUGUCAUUUCGGAGAGAAGUUAUAGAAGGAGGAGAAGGAGGAGAGAAGAAGGAGAAGAAGAAGGAGAAGAAGGAGGGAUAAGAAGAAGGAGGAGAGAAGAAAGAGAAGGAGGGCUCCUUCUCCUUCUCCUCCUCCUCCUCCUCCUCCUCCUUCUCUUCUUCUUCUCUUCUUCUUCUUCUUCUUCUCUUCUUCUUAUUCUCCUCUUCUUCUUCUUCCUCUGCUCCUCCUCCUCCUACUCCUCCUCUUCUCCUCUUCUUCCUCCUCCUCUUCUUCUUCUUCCUCUUAUUUCUAUUUCUAUUUUUCUUUAUCCUCUUCUUCUACUUCUUCUUCUUUUUUUCUUUUUUCUCUUCUUCUCCUUAUUUUUUCUUCUUAUCUUCUUCUCUUAGGCCUUAUUAUGUCAUUUAGGAGAGAACUUAGCUAAGUAUAGGUUAUUUUUUAUUAAAUAGGCCAUUUUGGAGCUAACUAAGCUAAUUAUGUCAGUUUGGAGGAUAAUUAGCUAAGUUGUGAGCUAACCAAGGUUCUUAUGAUGUUUUUACCCUAACUAAGCUAAUUAUGUCAUUUUGGAGGAUAAUUAGCUAAGUAUGUAUUUGUUGGGGGAAAAUAAGAUAAAUUGAAGAAGAAAGAGAAGAAGCAAGAAGAGAAGAAGGAGAAGAAAAAGAAGAAGGAGAAGGAGGAGGAGAAGAAGAAGGAGAAGAAGGAGGAGAGAAGAAGGAGAAGGAGAAGAAGGAGGGAGAAGAAGAAGGAGGAGAGAAGAAGGAGAUGGAGAAGGAGAAGGGAGAAGAAGAAGGAGGAGAGAAGAAGGAGAAGAAGGAGGGCUUCUUCAAUUCUCCUCCUCCUCCUUCUCUUCUUCUUAUCUUCUUCCUUCUCUUCUUCUUCUGUUCUUGUUCUUCUUCCUUCUUUUCAUUUUUUGUCUUUCUUCUCCUUCUUCUCCUCCUCCUCUUAUCCUCUUCUUCCUCCUCUUCUUCUUCUUCUUCUUCUUCUUCCUCUUAUUUCUAUUUCUUUUUUUCUUUAUCCUCUUCUUAUACUUAUUCUUCUUUUCUUCUUUUUUAUCUUCUUCUCCUUAUUUUUUUAUUCUUCUUUUCUUCUCUUAGGCCUUAUUAUUUCAUUUAGGAGAGAACUUAUCUAACUACAUGUAAUUUUUUAUUAAAUAGGCCAUUUUGGAGCUAACUAAGCUAAUUAUGUCAUUUUGGAGGAUAAUUAGCUAAGUUGUGAGCUAACCAAGGUUCUUAUGAUGUUUUUACCCUAACUAUGUUAAUUAUGUAAUUUUGGAGGAUAAUUAGCUAAGUAUGUCUUUGUUGGGGGAAAAUAAGCUAAAUUGAAGAAGAAAGAGAAGAAGCAAGAAGAGAAGAAGGAGAAGAAAAAGAAGAAGGAGAAGGAGGAGGAGAAGAAGAAGGAGAAGAAGGAGGAGAGAAGAAGGAGAAGGAGAAGGAGAAGGAGAAGAAGGAGGGAGAAGAAGGAGGAGAGAAGAAGGAGAAGAAAGAGGGCUCCUUCUCCUCCUCCUCCUCCUCCUUCUUCUCUUCUUCUUCUCUCCCUCUUCUCUUCUUCUUCUCUUCUUCUUCUUCUUCCUUCUUUUCAUUUUCCUCUUUCUUCUCCUCUUCUCCUCUUCUUCUUCUUCUUCUUCUUCUUCUUCUUCUUCUCCUCCUCCUCCUCGUCCUCCUCUUCUCCUCUUCUCCUCUUCUUCCUCCUCCUCCUCUUCUUCUUCUUCUUCCUCUUAUUUCUAUUUCUAUUUUUCUUUAUCCUCCUCAUUUAGGUGGAAGCCAAGCUAACUAUAUGUCGUUUUGGAGCUAACUUGGGUUAAAUAUGUCAUUUUAAGGAGGAGGAGAUAAAUUAUCUAAUUAUGUCAAAAAUGAACUAGAGAAAAUUUACCGUCGUGGUCAUCAAGGAGGAGAAACACCAGGGUUGCUCGUGCCGGCUUUGUUUGGAGACGGUUGCCCUAGAGAAGUGUCAUGCGGUGCCGCUCGGGAGUUAUUCUGCAGAAAAGAUAUUUUGCAAUGUCGCAGUUAGUAUGAUGACACUCAAUUUUUAAUACUAGUUUAAAUGACCAUUCAAAUGAAACUCACCGUGCCAAUCGCACAGAAGACGGGCAUCAGCUGAGGGACUUGACCGCUCUUCUCACACAUGCUGUGAAGAGUCGGUCAUAUUAGUUAGUAAUGAAACAGACAUUACAGACAUGAUUUGGCUAAUGUGAAAAACAAAACUUACCACAAAAAGCUCAUACAAGGCCCGUUGACCCGCGUCAUUCCGGGCGCUCUCCUCCUCAAUCAGUCGUGCCGUGGUCCGGUCCCUCUCCUCAAGAGCAGCCUGAAGAGCAGCCUGGCUUGCCAAUCUCUCUUGCUCAAGAGCAGCGUGGUUUUCUGCUCUCUCUUUCUGAAGAGCAGCCUGCAACACCAUUUCUCAUUACCACAAUAAUGAUCGAUGGUCACACAUAUAAUGAAAUGGGUGAAAUUUUUCUGAGUCCGUACAACUAACCUCGAUGGCAAGAUUGACUGACCGUGGACGAGGUGUUAUCUCUGGACAGGAGCUCGACUGGCGCGCCUUGAUCUCCGAGAGAGUGAGUGGACAACGUAUUAUCCCAUCUCCAAUGGCUAUCAAGCCAUGGGGCCUCCCGCCACCAGAUAUCAUCACCAGCUCUGGAUCCAAAGGUUACUGGCUCGGGUUAAGGUUCUCCCCUUUCCUAGCCUUCCCCGCGUCCCUGUAUGUCAUGAGAUUGUGGUGGGAUGAUAUGUUGGUGAAGUUAUUUGGAUCAUCCAGGUCAGACUCAAAGAAUGCCUUCACCUUCUUGUAGAAGGCACUAUGGGCCAUUCCAUAAAGGUCGUACAAGUGUGGCAUCUCCGUCUUAUUGUGAUGCGCCUAAAAGAGAGGAACAAAGUAUUAGUAAGGGGCUCAAGCUAGCAUGAAGAAUGAAUUGCAUGAAUCAUGAAGCAAACAACAUACCCAGUUUCCUCCGAACUGAAGUAAGUUGGCGCUGCCUUGAUGGUGUGGCACACCAACCAUUUGGCUUCGCCGAUCCUUCGCGUUGUCGUGGACGGCUCGCCAGUUCCCCGUGCACCACUCAUCCACCAACGCCUCCCAACAAUCCAUCUUAUCCGCACACCAUCUUGGGGGCACCUAUAAGUUAUUAGAAAGAAUUUUGAGCGCUACGCCUAUGAAUCAAAUCAAGAGCACUACGUCAAAGGCCUUAAGAACAGGUAAUUACCUUUAUGUACUGCUCCUUCUUCAGAUACUUGGUGCAGCACUCCUUCUUCUCCUUCUUAAUACCACGCGUGGCGUAGUAGUCUCGAAUAGCAUGUGACCGAUCCUCGUGGCGUAAGUUGUGUAAUAACCGCCUACACUCGGCCUCGAGAACCUUGGCCGCCUCCUCCUCAUAUCCCUCCUCACACCUAUAGAAGGUCUGCAAUCAAACGAGACAACACCGAUUAGUACAAUAAUUAGCUAUAUUGUCAAUUUUAGAUUGUGUAAAAGGAUAAUUUACCCAAAAGCUCUUGAUCACCAUGUCGGCCCUCGUGUGGCACAAGACACCAUCUAUAAUUUCCUCCGGCGGGGCCUCCGCAGCCUGGUAGUGCUCCCAGGAAAAUCCUAGUGUAGGAACCUGACCCUCACCAGGCAACGUGACAAACCCCAGAAAAUUUGUCCGGCAAAGCACACCCAGGAUGCUGUUCGGCUUGCGGACUCCACGAGGGUGUGCCCAUCCCCUGUAGUAUGAUAAGGCAACGCAUUAGAUAUUUGAAGAAACUUGAAGGCAAAAGCUAAAAAAUGAGUAAAUGUACUUACCUAUCCCCUUUAGGCUUAAUCACCGUCCUCUGCUCACGGGUAGCCGGCACGACCGGGAGCCUCGUACUACCACGCUUGUACACGGUGGCCCCAUCCACCUACACAUCUCCCUCACUAUAUGUUAACUCAUCCCCGCCAUCAGCAAAAUAGCCACCCGGAC
rnacentral:lncRNA from 1 species